GCCUCCAGAAGCUCCAGUGCAUAGUGGACGGCUAAAGCGUGCGGAGAAUGUCAAGAGAGGGCGGGGUAGACCGAAUUUGACAUGGGAGGAGUCCGUUAAGAGAGACCUGAAGGAUUGGAGUAUCACCAAAGAGCUAGCUAUGGACAGGGGUGCGUGGAAGCUUGCUAUCCAUGUGCCAGAGCCAUGAGUUGGUUGCGAGAUCUUAUGGGUUUCACCUCUAGCCUACCCCAACUUGUUUGGGACUAAAGGCUUUGUUGUUGUUGUUGUUGAUGGAUGAUGUGGGUAAUUCUACUGAUUUGAAUGUCUCACGGGUACCUUUUCACUUACGUAAAUGCACAUGCAAGUCUAAUGUGGCUAUUAACUGUAAAGGGCAACCUGGUGCAUGUAGCUCCCGCUUGCGCAGGGUCCAGGGAAGGGUCCGACCACUUUGGGUCUAUAGUACGCAGCCUUUCCCUACAUUUCUGUAAGAGGCUGUUUCCAGGACUUGAACCCAUGACCUCAUGGUCACAAGGCAGCAGCUUUACCACUGCGCCAAGGCUCCCCUUCGUGGCUAUUAACUGUGACCAGAGGAAAAUAUCAGUUAUAUAAUACUGUUAUCUUGUAGACUAUUGUUCUUUCUUUGCUAAUUUCCUUAAUCAGUGCUAGACACUUCCGCAUUUGUUUGGUCUAUGAGUUGGCAUCUAAGAUUGCAGAUGCGAUCCCAUAUUGUGCAAAGGCUGUUUCAUUGUGCAAGUCACGUUUAGAGAGCCUGAAAAAAGCGAAGGAAACCUUGUUGGCUGAUAAAGGUGACAGUGCAUCUACUGCUGAUGGAGACUCAAAGAAAUUGUCUAUUGAAGAUGAGCUGGAGGUUGUUACUGGUAUAUUGCCUGACCUUGAGAAGAAGGUAACUAAACUAGAUUCCUUCAUCUUAUCAACUUUAUUCUCGUCUUCAGCCUAUUGAUGUCUGAGUGAAAAUGUUUAUGUUUAUCAUAAUGAGCAAUGAGAUAUCUGAACUGUUUUUGGUUCAGCUUGAAGACCUGGAGCAAGCAAUUGCAACCCCAAGCUCUGAAAUAGAGGAGAUUAUGAAAAGCAUUGCCGCAAAGGCAGGGUUUAUGCAGAAGGCUGGCAAUGCUGUGGCGCCAAGAGCUGCAUCUUUGACUUCUUCACAAAUGGGUGGAGUAAACAAUGGCUUUGACUCCCCAACAAUGUCUACAGCAGCAACAUCUGGAAGCACUGGAAGUACUGUUACCGACCUCGGUGUUGUAGGCAGAGGCAUCAAGCGAGCUAAUAUCAAGCCUAUUUCUGCUGAGCCUUGUUCGAAGAGACUGGCAGCAGAUGAUUCACUGUCUGUGAAAUGCGACAGCAGCAACAACUCAGAUGUUCACCCCACGGUGCAAGAUGGUGAGGGUUCCGUAUCAAAGUAGAGUUCAUUUUCGUUCGCCCUACAUGGUGUUAGUAACUUGCUGGAAUCUGUGAGCUCCAUAUUUGGCCCUGUUUAGCUUCAUGCAAACUUAGAGUCGUUAAAAUGUUUGUGAAUUGUGGGAACCAUCUUCUCUUAAGUUGUACUAGUAACUUGAACUGGUGAUAAGUUUAUCAAGCGUGACAGUUGUUUGGUGUCUGAUGCGUGUAAGGUGAUUUGUGCUUUUCCAAAUGCGUGUUUGUACUUACGUGAUCUUGUAUUUUUAGUGGUUGCUCUGUGUCAUAAUCUCUUGUGCCGCAGCUGAGCAAGGCUAUCUUGGCACGUUUCACUGGUUAUUUGAUCUGUGUUGUGUACUGAAUAACUUUACACUUCGCAUGCUUUGCUGCCGAUGUUGAGCGGUAUAGCGAUAUGCAUUGCAAGCCGGCCAGGCUGAGCUGCCAUCGCCACACUGAUGCACAGCGGCUACUGCAUGUCUCGUCUGGCAUGGUUAAACAGAGCUAACCAAAAGAAAAGUGAAAACAAGAUACCAUCGUUCUAGAAAAAUGAGUUCACAUUUCCUUGGGAGACAUCUACAUCUACGGAGGAAUUUUUUCUUUUUUUGGGUGUGUGGAUCGACACACAUGGAGGAAUCUUAGAGUUUAGUACUCUAUUUUCGUGUUUCCUUGUAUAUUCUCCGUGCAUGUAUACAUAUAGGAUCUUGGGCUGCAAAGUAUAUUUGCUAGUGGCAUCAAGGAACCCGUUUUGGCUAAGCUGGCGGGGCUAGAGUCUGCUCGUUUUCCUGGUGCCCGCACCACGGACGGUAGCGUAGCGUGUCUGAAGCGGACUCGUAGUCCCGAUCCAUCAUCAUAUAUACGUACUGGUCACCCCCGAUCAUGGUUGCAAGGAAAUCAUAUAGUCUAGGUAUUCCAAGAAGAAGAUCUGGCAUGCCAACAAAUCCGUUCUCGUCGGGCCUCCGACACGGCGACGCCGAUGCCGCGCAAGCGCAAUCGAAGCCAAUCAUCACCCCGACGACGGAUCCUGAACGCAUCGACAAAUCGCUCUUGCCGCUAAAGAAGAGGGCGACGAGCGACAGUAGCGACCGCGAGGAUUCUUGUUUCCUAGUCCCACUUCCACCCAAGAAGAGACGGGUAGAUGCCCGCCUAAUUCCACUUCAGAGCCACCUGGACCUACUAUACCAGACGGUGACAGAAGUUGGCACCAGCGCGUCCAGUCCCGACGCGACCACGUCCCAACACCAGAGACUCACGAGCGGCGGCGACGAGCAACCCUUACACGUGACGCGGCCGAGGCGACCAGCGGCGCGCGACGGCGCAUACGUGACCAUGGAGGAAGACGAGACGGCACCAGCCAAGAAUAAGAAGAAGAGGAAGAAGACGAAUAGGAACAGGGAUCGAAAGAAGAAAUCGCUGCCGGCGCGGGUCGCCGCCCCGCCGCCGCUGCGCCUCGGCACGGGGCUGACGCAGCACCUCGAGACGCUCGGCGCCACGGCUCCGCAGUUCGUCUGCGUCAAGAACCUACAGAAGAGCGACGUGGACCUCAACCAGAACCGCCUCCUCUUCUCGUGCAAGCGCGUCUCCAUCGAGCGCCACCCCAUCACCGGUCUCCUCUCCCACAAGGAGACCUACCUUGUCCAUGAGUGCAAGGACGGCCUGCGCGUCACCGCCUUCGACGACCACGGCAACGAGUUCGGCUUCAAGCUCCGGUACCUCCGCUCCAACGGCGCCUACCGCUUCAUCGGCGACUGGGGCGACUUCGUGACGGAGCACGGGAUGCAGAUCCAUGUUGACGUCCAGCUGUGGGCGUUCCGGUCACCGAGCUUGCCCGUGCAGCCCAAGUUGCCCGACAAAGACAAGCAGCGGAGACUCGACGGACUCCAGGCUCACCCUGACGGCGCCCUCGGCCUUCUCCUUCUCUUCCAAGUACGGCACCACGACGCAAGAAACGUCCACCACGCCGAGGAAGAAAAAGAGCGUGCGCCGGCGCCGCGGCCGGUCCAUGAGACCAAGAGGAAGGCAUCGGCGCGACAAGACAACCUCGCGGAUCCGCAUGUGAGUCAGAAUAUCACGUCGGAAGACAUGGUUACGGCGGUUGGGAAGGAGAUGGCGGAUGCCUUGAUGGGGCUCUUGAUGCUCCGCUCCAUUUGCCUCCGUUCCAAAACAGAUCCUUGCUUGUUAGGACAACAUUUUGACCCUAAUUUUACUUUAUCUACUAGCUAAAUGGCCGUACCUUGCUACAGAUUAUGAGGUAAAGAGAAAUACUUUACUACUCUGCUUCGUCCCAUGAUAUAAGAGCUUGAAAAACAUUUUUAUAUUAUGAGACUGAAGAAGUAUUAUGUAAGUAUAGUAUAUAUGUGAUUGAAUGAGUCAAAUAUUUUUAUGUCAAAUUAACAACAAUACCAUUGAUGACUAUAGUUCUUGGAGGCAUACUUUUAUAUAGAAAAAAGACGCCGAUAAGUGCCACACGUGUGGGCGUUAGGAAGUCCGCCCACACAUUUUGUGUGGUGUAUAAGAGGAAAAGCCCACACACUUACGUGUGGGCAAAACAAUUAGCGCCCACACGCCUCUUUUUCUCCCUCCCGAUCCUUCUCACACGCGUGCAUGUGGGCAAAGUUGAUAACGCCCACACGCCCGUAUGUCAGGCCUCGUACCUCCUGGUCCCGCACGCUACGCGUGACGGUCACCGCGCGCGCGCAGUUGCCAUGGUCCAGACCCUCGUCCAUGUUCGUUUAAUUGCAGUUGCCAUGUCGCUGAACUACGGUUGCCAUGUCGGACAACUGCAGUUGCUAUGGUUGCUCAACUGCAGUUGCCAUGUAUGGUCUGAUCUAAUGUAGUUGCCAUGAUUUCAUAACUUUAGGAGUUGCCACAUACUAACACUAGGCAGUUGAGAGAGUUGCCAUGUGCUCACAAGCAUGCUAGGGCAGUUGCCAUGUAAAAAGGAAGAGUUGCCAUCUGCUUACGUGCACGUUAGGAAAGUUGCCAUAUACAUGCACGUUAGGGCAGUUGCCAUGUACCAUGCAAAAACAUAUGGCAACUCGGUAAAAGAGAGUUGCCAUCUACUUACGUGCACACUAGGCAGUUGCCGUGUACCCUGCAAAACACAUGGCAAACUCGGGUAAAAAAAGAGAGUUGCCACCUGCUUAUAAAAGCACACUAGGGGCAGUUGCCAUGUGCAGUGCAAAAACACAUGGCAACUAGCAGCUUGGGUGUGGGAGAGCAGAAGGGCGUGUGGGCAAGAUGCCAAAUACCCACACACUAACCCUUGUGUGUGCGUGCAAAAUGGCGUGUGGGCGAACUGCUGAACGCCCACACACCAGCCCCUCCUGUGUGGUGAAACGGCCGUGUGGGCGACCGGCUGAACGCCCACACACCAGGCCAGUCCUACGUGGCACUAGAAACAUGCCAAGAUUCGUACGCUCACGAACGGACGCGGAUCCACGCGUGUAGGCGAGAUGCAAACGCCCACACGUGUGGGCGUUAAUAUUUCCGUAGAAGAAACUCUAAGCACCACAGGUCACCCCAUGACUCGAACUCAAAUGAGUUAGAUAAAACAAUAAGGUGACACCCUAUUCUCUUCAUGGUGAUCUAGAGUUCUGCCGUUGAUCUUCAGUGCACAUUGAUCCAACCCUCGCGAGGCUCAUUGUACAAGGCGCUACAAUAAAAUGACUAGCCGGACCAACUUAGAGCAUCUACAACAUCGGGCACGUCAUCAUUUCUUCUUUUCUAUAACCACACUCCCCAUAUUCAAAUAUCCAUAUAAAUGUAAGUGCACCAUGAAUAAGCGAUACAAAGUAAACGACAAUUCAUUACAUGACAAAAUAAAAUUCAGUAAUUCAUAUAUGGAUAGACGAUACACGAAUGAACAAAGACGUUAAUUGUUGCGAUUACUGAUGACCUUCAUGCGGAGAAGCCACUUCUUGCCUUCAUCAUUCAAGAGGUUUAUGUCCUGCAGCAUGAUCCUCGACUCCUUCGUUUCUCUUGCAAGUCUCAACUUGUCUCUCUCAAGAUCAAAUUCCUUGCAUUAUCGCAGCUUCUCUUGCCUCUUCAAUUCUAUUUUGUUAUUCUCCAAGUGCAACCUCUCCGGGCCGAACUUCAUCUUCUCUCUUUGCACAUCUAUGAACAUCUUGUACCUUUCCUCCUUCAUCUUCUUGGUGAAAAAAAUGCCGGUCCAAGUGGCGGACAUUUUGCUUACCGCGCCAUCACGGGCGAUCCUCUCCUUCUUCCACUUGUUUCCCUUCACAUGCCGAUUUUUAUUUGGCAUGGCUGCUUAUAUGUUUGCCCCACCAAUUUCUUCUUCCUCCUCUAGUCCAAUUGAUUGAGCAUAGCUAGACCCAUAGGUUUUCUUCAUCUUCUUCAUGACACUUCUAAUCUCCUCGAGAACAGUUUGCCACUUAGGUUUCCCGUUCAAUUUCAUCCAACAAUGUGACAUUGCGAAUGGCUUGUUCUCGUCUUGAUGGUACAAAGCCGCUGCCUAAGUUGUAUGGGUUUGAACUCUAAUGUCGCUUUGGUUCUGGUCAACAACUUGUAUGAGAAAACCAACAGAUUUGCUCACAUUCUCUUGGAUGAUGGACCAUCUAUGUUGGUGAGAGCACGGGAAACGGUUGGUAUUGAUUGGGUGUGGUUUCACAUAAUGUUUUUACUCAUGAUAAAGUUUGUGAUUUUUUCCCAAUAUUUCUCGCCUUUUUGCUCAGUUCACAUAUUGGAUCCACACUAGUGUUCAACCAACUGUCACACAACAAAACAUCUUCAAAUUGUUGAAUGUCGGACCUCUUGGCUUCACUACCUUCUUUCUUUUUGUGCAUUACGUUUGCCCAACUUCAAAUGUCGAGGAAUUGAUUUCCCCCAUGUUAAAUUGUAAAGGCUCUUGACCACCAUUUAUCAUGUUAUUCAAAAUUUGUCCUACAAUUUGCAUCGUAAUUUAACUAUCAUUCUACAAGUUUGAUCUAAUGGUAUGUGGAACAAAUAAAUCUUGGAAUGCAAAUGUCAGAGAGGCAAAGAUUGUAUCAGGUCUUGUUCCGUCGAACAACAUGUGGGCAUGCCCGGAGCCGACACUGGCAGACGUCGCCCGAUGCCUUUGGAGUUGCAGCGAGUCGGCCAUCGUGGUCACGUUCGUGGAGUCUCCCGUAAAGCUCAAAUCUGGGAUGCCCGUCCACUAGGAGGGCGAAACGGAGUCGCGCUCGCCCGACAAGUUGUUUUUCCUCGCGGCCAUGACAGACAGAUUGGCAUGUGUCGCCACACCACUCGUGCCAAAGCCCAUGCCUCAUCACCGACCAUCUUCGUAGUUGCGUUCACCGCCACUUCACGCUCACGUUGCCUUCGCCGACGGUCCUUCCAGGCAAGGUUCUCCGCCUUGCAAGGAACCGCCACGCCGGGGAGCCUGACCGAUUUCGCCAAUGCAUCAUCCGUGACAAUGGUGGCGGACAGGGUUGUCGGUGACAACAUUAGCGACGACGGACGAGGACGACGACACGAACGACAAGCAAGGAGGGGUGGGCGGCUGCGUGGAGGCGGGAAAUGGAGGAUGGAGCCGGGAGGAGGGUGGUCGAAGUGAUGGACUAGUCAAUUUUGAGAGGAUUUGGGAUGAGUCGGCUUGUCAGAGCCGCGUGGUGGGCGCGUCCGCGUGUCCCCAUAUCCGCCCCGAAUAUGGGCUGGGUAUUAGUGAUGUCGGUCAGUCCAAGCGUUUGGCCCGAAUUUGCCAAGUUCAAUGGAAUGAUUGUUUUCUAUCCGGAUAGUGACUGGGCAAGCCGCCUGGGCGCUUACAAUGGAUAUGUGGGCUCUAGUUGUAGAUGCUCUAAGAGCAUCUCUAGCCGCGCCCCCAGGAACGCCCCCAAGCCAUUUUUCUAGAGCCGGCGGCAAAAAAUCCUCCCACUCACUUCCGCAAAGCCUUACUUUUCGCUGGAUUUAAAGAAAAACGAUGCCGGCAAACCCACCCAAACCCAGCCACCUGGGGGAAGCUGGGGGUGCCGACGGUUACUUUUUCUCGCCGUUGGCCCACUCUCAGUCUCCCACCUCCCUCUCUUCUCUCUUUUCAUCUGGGUGUUGACACACGAACACGUCACGUGUACCCUCGACGCCGGGGGUGAUGCACCGCAGCUCACGUCGAAGGAGACCCGACCGACAGCGCGAUACGCAAGACAGUCGACGGGCGCUUUUGCAGACCCGAAAACCCCACACCCCCGGGAGGGACCCCGUCAGGGAGUGCGGUGGCUAUGGGCUGCUCUAGGUCGAUUCGCUCGCCACUAGAGCCUCGGGAUUCGCAGCUCUCAAACACGAAGAACAACGAAGAACGAGAUAGAAAAACGGUGGAGAGAUAAAACGUAGAUGAAAAAGUAGUAUAUUGAUUUGUUCGAUUGUGUGUUGUUCAAUCGGCCGUCACCCCCAACAUAUAUAAGAGGCGGCUGGACUUCCCGUACAAGCAAAGGAUUUAUCUAGGCUUUCCUUACAAGAAAAUUAUAUCAAUUCACGUCCUAGAAUCCUAGUUCUGGUCCCACUCGGAUUCAACCCGAAUCUGGUCCAAUCUUCUGUCUUGCUCCUUGCGUGGGCUGUGGAAUCUGCAUAUGACUUCUGAUGGAGACGGUUCAAAUAUCAAUUAUGUGUGCUUCGAUGAGGCCAAUAAUCCGUAUGUUGAUCACUUUUCCAAAUAAGGCCAUCUUGAAUACUCCACCGGGUCAUCUCUAAUUUCGAGUCGGACUCGUUCAUGUAGCUGACUGGGCCGUCCGACUCUUGCAGCGUCUCUGCAGGUCGUAUACUACGUCGGAUGAUGAUGACUCCAAAAGCAAAGUUGACUGUUUCGACGUUACGAACAACUCCUAUGUUGAACACUUCUUCAUCCGAAGCCAUCUAGAUAAGUAUUUGAGCCCAUCUUCAGCAUCUGGUCGGAUUGGCCUCGACAGUUUCUACUGUUCACGGCAGCAAGCUUUCCCGGCAAGGUUACUGUUCACGGCGGCAAGCUCUCCCCCGACAGGUUAUUGUUCACGGCGGCAAGCUCUCCCCGGCAAGGUUACUGUUCACGGCGGCAAGCUCUCCCCCGGCAGGUUACUGUUCACGGCGGCAAGCUCUCCCCCGGCAGGUUACUGUUCAUGGCGGCAAGCUCUCCCCCGGCAAGGUUUUUGAGGCAGUAAACAACCUCAGAUGAAAAUGUGUCCAAAAGCAAAGUUGACCAUUUUGACGAGACGAAAAACUUUCGUGUUGAACGUUUUCCGAUUCGAGGCCAUCUUCUGGGCCAAAACACUCAUGCAUUACAUCAGACACUUGCCAAGACAUGUCUGGUCUUCCGCGUCAUAUUUCGCCUCUUGACAUGGCUGCAUCCAGAUAGCUCUAACUUUUGCAUACGAACUCGGAUUGAGAUGAUUUUUAUAUCAAAAUCGACCGAUUCGACGAGACGAAGACAAUUCGUGUAGAGCAUUCCUUCAUCCGAGAUUGUCCUGGAGGCGUACUUGACCAAAAAGCACUCAGAACACCUAAACAUGACAAUCUGAGUGUAGUUUUGGUCUUUGAUAUGAUGCCGAAUGAUUAUGGUCCAAAUAUCAAAGUUGUUCCACUCGGCAAUGUGAAAUUUCUCAUUUAGAAUAUUUUGUCAUUUGAGGCCAUCUUCAUUGCAUUCUGCAUUGUGCCAAAAUCAGGUGUCAACACAGGCCCCCCUGUUUUUCUGCAAAGCUUGCAUGCCGAAAAAUAAUUUGCACCAUGUUUGUUCUAAGGAUGAUGUCAACACUCCAUCGGCCAUCUAUUCUUCUCAGGGCGAUAAUUAUGUAUCGGCCAUGUUUGUGCUAAGGGCGAUAAUCGUAUAUCGGCCAUUGCCUACUUAGGCUUCCUGCCACACACUCGGGUGGUACUUCUUCAAAUAUUUGCCAUUGAGAGCUCGAGGUAACAAUGCCCCCUGUAUUGAUUCCACCAAAUAUGAAUUUCCGGGAACAACUCUUGUAAUCCUAAAAGGACCUUCCCAACUUGGAGACCACUUCCCGAAUUUUCUAUCUCUUGAACCAAUCGGUAGAAUCACUUUCCAGACGAGGUCACCAACUUGAAAAUUCCUCAACUUGACUUUCUUAUUGUAAGCCCUUGCCACCCUCAACCUAUCUCUCUCUAUGGCAUUCAAAGCAGCCAAACGUUUAUCAGCAACCUCAUCAAUGUUGUCCAUCAUCAAGUUAUAAAAGUCUAUUGCCGAUAAAUCAUUUUUCUUAGCUAUUCUCAAAGCAUUCAAAUUUACCUCCACCGGUAAAACAACCUCUUGACCAUAUACUAGCUCAUAUGGAGUUACCUUCGUAGCACCAUGCCUUGAGAUCCUAUGUGCCCACAAAGCUUCAGACAAUAACUCAUGCCAUCUCCUUGGAUUAUCCUCAACCUUCUUCUUGAUGAGCUUGAUUAAAAUUUUAUUGCUAGACUCAGCUUGUCCAUUGGCUUGGGCAUAAUAUGGAGAUGAAUUGAGCAAUUUUAUAUUAUAAGAUUCGGCAAAUUCUCUAACUUGGUGUGACAUGAAAGAGGAGCCUUGAUCUGUAGUCAAUGUUUGAGGAAUGCCGAAUCUAUGAAUAAUGUGCUCGGUUAUGAAUUUUAUCACCUCCGUAUGUGUCAUGUUCUUGAGAGGUACUGCUUCAGACCAUUUAGUGAAAUAAUCGAUUGCCACCAAUACGAACCGAUGCCCCUUUGAGGAAGACGGAUGAAUUUGUCCAAUAAAGUCUAAACCCCAUCCUCUGAAAGGCCACGGCUUGAUAAUGGGAUGUAACAUAGCAGCAGGAGCCAACUGAAUAUCACCAAAAUUUUGACAAGCUUUGCACCCUUUAUAAUACCUGAAGCAAUCAUUAAUCAUGGUCGGCCAAUAAAACCCAGCACAUCGUAAUAACCAUUUCAUCUUGAGAGCCGACUAGUGAGUACCACAAAUGACUUCAUGUACCUCUCCCAUAGCAACUCUUGCUUGGUCCUCAUCCAAGCACUUUAAGAUAACAUCAUCAACUGUUCGGCGAUAAAGAUCAUCAUCCCUCAUAGUAUAUUUAAAAGCCAUACGCCGAACAGCCCUGUCCACCCUUUCACUCGGAUUACGUAAGUAAAUAACAAUGGGCUUCCUCCAGUCGGAAUUGUCACCUGAUGACGAAUUCCAUGGCAUAGGCGUUAAUGGCAUAGUUGAAGAAUAUGGAUAAUGUGUAGACCAAAGAUGUUGAAACCUUCGGCUUGGUCCUUCAUAGUUUUUACUCUUUUCCUUCUUCACUUUUGCCGCACUUCUUGUAAUGGAGGCUUGCACAUAAUUUUUAUUUUGAGCACUUCCUUUGGGAACCCAUGCCAUGUUCCUUUCUUCAAGUUCUUGUGCACUAAGUUUGUGUAAUUCCCUCUUUUGCCAAUACGAUAAGCCGAGUGGGCAUCUCGGCUGUGAUUCCUUUUUGGCCUUGUGCACUCUCAACUUCUUUUCUUCAGAUUUGGCACUUUGACUCUCAAUAAUUGGUUGCUUCAUCUCAUUGCCUUUUCUAGCCAAUGUCAACAAUUUAAUUGGCUCUUUAUUAUUUGAGAUCAAAUCUGAAGUAGCACACUUAUGACCAUCUCUUUUCACGCGGUAGACUUGCUUGACCACCUCUUUUUUCAUCCAUGGUGUCCGGACCGAUUCCUUAUAAUUGAAACGGUCUUUAACAUGUGACUGUUCAAAUGUUGAUCUUCUCGGAGCUGCAUAAUAUUGGUGAGAUGGUCUAAAAUAAGAUGGAGAAUGUGCCCUUGUAUCACACCUGUCCCAUGAUGAACAUGGAUCUACAUGAGCAUAGGGAGACAUCCACGACAUUGGCAUUGGCGGCCCAAAAUAAGGAUAUGAAUAUGAUGCAUUGAAACUCUCACUUUGCCAAUACCGAUCCUUAUAUUUGCGCCUUGGGGGUGAUCUUGGUUUCUUUGCAUGAUUGGGCCGAUAAGCAUUCUUCUCUUCACUCUUCUUUUGAUAUUUCUCCAAUAGUUCAGCGAAGGUGAUUUUUGAUCUUUUACACUUGCCUUAUUUCGGCCUUUGUUUUCUUUUGGUUUGCUUUCAUCGAUCGUUGGAUUUGCUUGCUGCCCCCCAGUCCUUGGCAUCUCCAUUGUAGCUUCGAUGGAAUUCUCACCCUCAAGAUUAUGUUCAUUAUGCUCUUCAACAACUUCUUGACUUGAAUGCUUGAUCCCAUCACCUGCAGUUUUUACCUUCUCUUUAAAUGGAUCGGCUUGAAGCAGCCGAUGCAAAAACUUUUUGCCAUCGGGACCAAUCGGAAUGGACUGAUCAUCUCUUGGUAUUUCAACAAACUUCAAUCGUCCUUUUUCAAUGGCCGAUUUAACUAUUUGACGAAACAUGUUGCAAUCCUCAAAAUUAUGCUUGGACGAAUCAUGCAACUUACAAUACAUCUGUCCUUGGAUUGAUGGCUUAACAUGGUGAUCAAGAAUUGUAAUGUAAUUAUUUUUUAGCAACAAGUCAAAUAUUUGAUCACACAUGCUUGAAUUGAAGGUAUACUUCUUGUUUUCUAGCCGAUCUUGCUGUGAGAACGGCUUUGGAAUUAAGCAAACGAAUAGUUUAGAUUUUGCAUCACACCAUUUGGCCAUGCAUUGUGUUUUGCACUCUAUCUCCGAUGUCUUUGGGUAAGAUAUUAUACUAGCAUCGGUUUUCUCAACAUAAUUUAAUCUUGGCUUUAAAUUUCUAAAACGAAAAUAGUUAGAAUACACAUGUCUCAAUUGAGACCAAGUACAAGCCAAGUAUGAAAUAAGCAAAGCUACCCAAAUAGAUAUGAACUUUAAAUAAAGCAACGGGGAAAGCUUUGGCUGUAAUAAUAAGUCACUACCGAUCUUUAUAAAUGGCAUAAUGGGUUGACCGAUAUGCUCAAUAACAACUUUAUUGCUAGCAAGUAAAUUACCCUUCUUCAUUGGUAUUUCAAAAUUACUUAUGAGGAUUUUUCCAAUAGAUGCAUCAACAAUAAAGUCCUGACCAAAUCUGAAAAUAGGUAAAUUACUUGCUAAACAUACCUCUUCAAAUAUGUUGGGAGAGCACGAUGGUGGUGUGACUUGAACAAUAUCUUGCUCCGCCUUUGGAUGGCUCCCCAAUGCCUAUUCAUCAUCUUUUUCUUGAUUUCGUGCAUCAUUACAUUGAAAAAUUUUGUCGGCCAAACUUUGUUCGGCUACUUGUUCUUGUCCUUGAAGUUCAUCAAUUUCUCUGGCACGAAACUCAUAGGGCAGGAAGUAGGUUCCAUUAACUUUGGAAAAAUCAAGUAUGGUCGCUUUGCUAUGCUUGCCAUGCCCUUUCUCAAUAAUGCUUGCCUCUUUGCAUUUGAUGGAUUCAGAAUAUAUACUUCUUGAUUCGGCUCUUUCAACCGGAGCACUUUCAUGUUCUGAAUCAUCUUUCUUUACAUUGCUUCUACCAAUUGGCAAUGCUUCUUUCACUUGAGCCAAUUCUGUUUCUUUUUGUUUCUGGCAGCGAGCGGCAAAAUUGGCUUUAAUCUUUUUCUCAAUUUCAGCCCACUUCGGAUACGAUUUCCCCCCAAUGCUUUUAGAUUCUUUUGGCAAUGGCACAUGGGUGUUGCCGAAACUUUGCAAUUGUGUAGGGCUGUAUAAUAUGAUGUAGUACUAGGUGAAGGCAUAUGCAUUGUUGUAAAACCAUAUUUUUGCUCGCCAAUCUUAUCAAUUGGCAAAGAUUCAUUUUCUUGCAAAACUCUAGCUUUUAUUGCGGCAUAAUCAGGAAAUAGCCCCUUUUCAUGUUGUUCAAGGCAAAGAGCACUAAUCCUCUUAUUUUGGGCUAAACUCUUCAAUGCAGCCACUACUACCUCAUCUUCUACAAUAUUGGGCACAACCUCUCCUGUAAAAUUUACAUUUAUUCGGCUAUGACCAGGAAGGUGUGAAGCCGAAUUAUGAACAUCUACAGUUGUGUAUGGUGCUGAAAAAUUACUGAGAUGGGAUGUAGCAUAUGACGGUUGAGAGUAAUUGGCCGAAUAGCUAGUAGUAGCAUGGCCGAUUCUCCCAUCCAUCGGCAUGGUUGAACUAGUAUAUUGCAAAUUAGUUGCCGAUGAAUAAAAAGGUGAAACACUUUGUCGCAUGAUAUUGGAAGUUCCUACAAGAGGUGUUUCAACUUGAUUGCCCAAACUCAUCAUGUUAUUCAUCGGCAUAUAUAUUUUUGGGGUUGCCGAUGCAUGGGAGUUGGGAUACACAUGUUGCAUGUUGCUAAAAUUAUAUGAAGUAGAAUCAUGGAGAUUUUGUUGCAUCGGCCCUUGCACAUAAUUGGAUAUAUGAUUGAUAAAGCUAGGGCUAGCCGAUACAUUAUUCUCAUUAGAUGAUCUAGCAACAACAUAUGCAUUAUUUGCAUCUACAUAUGUGAAUUGGGUAUUCAUAUUACCUUUGUAGAUUGCAAACCCUAGAUGACGAUCUCUUCGUAGCAAGAACGGGCUGGAGACCGUUCAAAGCUUCGUCCCCAGCGGAGUCGCCAAAAAAGUGUGUUGACACACGAACAGGUCACGUGUACCCUCGACGCCGGGGGUGAUGCACCGCAGCUCACGUCGAAGGAGACCCGACCGACAGCGCGAUACACAAGACAGUCGACGGGCGCUUUUGCGGACCAGAAAACCCCACACCCCCGGGAGGGACCCCGUCAGGGAGUGCGGUGGCUAUGGGCUGCUCUAGGUCGAUUCGCUCACCCCUAGAGCCUCGGGAUUCACUGUUGGGGAACGUAGCAGAAAUUCAAAAUUUUCCUACGUGUCACCAAGAUCUAUCUAUGGAGAGACCAGCAACGAGUAGAAAGGGAGGAGAGUUUGCAUCUACAUACCCUUGUAGAUCGCUAAGCGGAAGCGUUCAAGUGAACGGGGUUGAUGGAGUCGUACUCGUCGUGAUUCAGAUCACCGAUGAUCAAGUGCCGAACGGACGGCACCUCCGCGUUCAACACACGUACAGCCCGGUGACGUCUCCCACGCCUUGAUCCAGCAAGGGAAGAGGGAGAGGUUGAGGAAGACUCCAUCCAGCAGCAGCACAACGGCGUGAUGGUGAUGGAGGAGCGUGGCAAUCCUGCAGGGCUUCACCGAGCACCUACGGGAGAGGAGAUGUGUCACGGGAGGGAGAGGGAGGCAACCAAAGGCCUUAGGUCUGAUUGCUCCUCCUUUUCCCCACUAUAUAUAGGGCCAAGGGAGAGGGGGAGGGCGCAGCCUUGCCCCCUCCUCCAAGGAAGGGGUGCGGCUAAGGAUGGGGAGGAGUCCAUCCUCCCCAAGGCACCUCGGAGGUGCCUUCCCCCUUGAGGACUCUUCCCUCCCCAAGUUUCCUUGCGCAUGGGCCUCUUGGGGCUGGUGCCCUUGGCCCAUGUAGGCCAAGGCGCACCCCCUACAGCCCAUGUGCCCCCCCGGGGCAGGUGGCCCCACCCGGUGGGCCCCCGGGACCUUUCCGGUGGUCCCGGUACAAUACCGAUGACCCCGAAACUUGUCCCGAUGGCCGAAACAGGACUUCCUAUAUAUAAAUCUUUACCUCCGGACCAUUCCGGAACUCCUCGUGACGUCCGGGAUCUCAUCCGGGACUCCGAACAACAUUCGGUAACCACAUACAAGCUUCCUUUAUAACCCUAGCGUCAUCGAACCUUAAGUGUGUAGACCCUACGGGUUCGGGAGACAUGCAGACAUGACCGAGAUGUUCUCCGGUCAAUAACCAACAGCGGGAUCUGGAUACCCAUGUUGGCUCCCACAUGUUCCACGAUGAUCUCAUCGGAUGAACCACGAUGUCAAGGACUCAAUCGAUCCCGUAUACAAUUCCCUUUGUCUAGCGGUAUUUUACUUGCCCGAGAUUCGAUCGUCGGUAUACCAAUACCUUGUUCAAUCUCGUUACCGGCAAGUCACUUUACUCGUUCCGUAACACAUCAUCCCGUGAUCAACUCCUUGGUCACAUUGCGCAUAUGAUGAUGUCCUACCGAGUGGGCCCAGAGAUACCUCUUCGUUUACACGGAGUGACAAAUCCCAGUCUCGAUUCGUGCCAACCCAACAGACACUUUCAGAGAUACCUGUAAUGCACCUUUAUAGCCACCCAGUUACGUUGUGACGUUUGGUACACCCAAAGCAUUCCUACGGUAUCCGGGAGUUGCACAAUCUCAUGGUCUAAGGAAAAGAUACUUGACAUUGGCAAAGCUCUAGCAAAUGAACUACACGAUCUUUUGUGCUAGUCUUAGGAUUGGGUCUUGUCCAUCACAUCAUUCUCCUAAUGAUGUGAUCCCGUUAUCAACGACAUCCAAUGUCCAUAGCCAGGAAACCAUGACUAUCUGUUGAUCACAACGAGCUAGUCAACUAGAGGCUCACUAGGGACAUAUUGUGGUCUAUGUAUUCACACGUGUAUUACGAUUUCCGGAUAAUACAGUUAUAGCAUGAAUAAAAGACAAUUAUCAUGAACAAGGAAAUAUAAUAAUAAUACUUUUAUUAUUGCCUCUAGGGCAUAUUUCCAACAGUCUCCCACUUGCACUAGAGUCAAUAAUCUAGUUCACAUCACCAUGUGAUUAACACUCACAGGUCACAUCGCCAUGUGACUAAUACCCAAGAGUUUACUAGAGUCAGUAGUCUAGUUCACAUCACUAUGUGAUUAACACUCAAUGAGUUUUAUGUUUGAUCAUGUUGCUUGUGAGAGAGGUUUUAGUCAACGGGUCUGAACCUUUCAGAUCCGUGUGUGCUUUACAAAUCUCUAUGUCAUCUCCUAGAUGCAGCUACCACGCUCUAUUUGGAGCUAAUCCAAAUAACUGUUCUACUUGGAGCUAUUCUAAAUUGUUGCUCCAUUAUAUGUAUCCGGUCUCUCUACUAAGAGCUAUCCGGAUAGGUGUCAAGCUUGCAUCGUCGUAACCUCUACGACGAACUCUUUUACCACCUCCAUAAUCGAGAAAAUUCCUUAGUCCACUAGUUACUAAGGAUAACUUUGACCGCUGUCCUGUGAGCCAUUCUUGGAUCACUCUUGUACCCCUUGACUGACUCAUGGCAAGGCACACUUCAGGUGCGGUACACAGCAUAGCAUACUGAAGAGCCUACGUCUUAAGCAUAGGGGACGACCUUCGUCCUUUCUCUCUAUUCUGCCGUGGUCGAGCUUUAAGUCUUAACUUCGUACCUUACAACUCAGGCAAGAACUCCUUCUUUGACUGGUCCAUCUUGAACACCUUCAAGAUCAUGUCAAGGUAUGUGCUCAUUUGAAAGUAUUUAUUAAGCAUUUUGAUCUAUCCUUAUAGAUCUUGAUGCUCAAUGCUCAAGCAGCUUAAUCCGGGCUUUCCAUUGAAAAACACUUUCAAAAUAACCCUAUAUGCUUUCUAGAAAUUCUACAUCAUCUCUGAUCAUCAAUAUGUCAACAACAUAUACUCAUCAGAAAUUCUAUAGUGCUCCCACUCACUUCUUUGGAAAUACAAGUUUCUUAUAAACUUUGUAUAAAUCCAAAAUCUUUGAUCAUCUCAUCAAAGCGCACAUUCCAACUCCGAGAUGCUUACUCCAGUCCUUAAAAGGAUCGCUGGAGCUAGCAUACCUUUUAGCAUCCUUAGGAUCGACAAAACUUUUCUGAUUGUAUUGCAUACAACCUUUCCUUACGAAAACUAGUAAGGAAACUUGUCUUGACAUCCAUCUGCCAGAUUUCAUAAAUGCAGCUAAUGCUAACAUGAUUCCGACGGACUUUAAGCAUCGCUACGAGUGAGAAAAUCUCAUCGUAGUCAACUCCUUGAACUUGUGGAAAAACUUUUCGCCACAAGUCGAGCUUCAUGGACGGUGACAUUACCAUCCACGUCCGUCUUCUUCUUAAAGAUCCAUUUAUCUCAAUGGCUUGCCGAUCAUCGGGCAAGUCCACCAAAGUCCAUGCUUUGUUUUGAUACAUGGAUCCUAUCUCGGAUUUCAUGGCUUCUAACCAUUUGUCGGAAUUUGGGCCCACAAUUGCUUCUCCAUAGCUCGUAGGUUCAUUGUUGUGUAGCAACAUGACCUUCAAGACAAGACUACUGUACCACUCUGAAGUAGUACGUAUCCUUGUCACCCUACGAGGUUUGGGAGUGACUUGAUCUGAAGUUUCAUGAUCACUAUCAUAAGCUUCUACUUCAAUUGGUGUAGGUGCCACAGGAACAACUUCCUGUGCCCUGCUACACACUGGUUGAAGUGAUGGUUCAAUAACCUCAUCAAGUCUCCACCAUCCUCCCACUCAACUCUUUCGAGAGAAACUUUUCCUCGAGAAAGGACCCGAUUCUAGAAACAAUCCAUAUUGCUUUCGGAUCUGAAUUAGGAGGUAUACCCAACUGUUUUGGGUGUCCUAUGAAGAUGCAAUUUAUCCGCUUUGGGUUCGAGCUUAUCAACCUGAAACUUUUUCAUAUAAGCGUCGCAGCCCCAAACUUUUAAGAAACGACAACUUAGGUUUCUCUAAACCAUAAUUCAUACGGUGUCAUCUCAUCGGAAUUACGUGGUGCCCUAUUUAAAGUGAAUGUGGUUGUCUCUAAUGCCUAACCCAUGAACGAUAGUGGUAAUUCGAUAAGAGACAUCAUGGUACGCACCAUAUCCAAUAGGGUGCAACUAUGAUGUUCGGACACACCAUCACACUAUGGUGUUCUAGGCGGUAUUAAUUGCGAAACAAUUUCCACAAUGUCUUAAUUGUGUGCCAAAACUCGUAACUCAGAUAUUCAUCUCUAUGAUCAUAUCAUAGACAUUUUAUCCUCUUGUCACAAUGAUCUUCUACUUCACUCUGAAAUUACUUGAACCAUUCAAUAAUUCAGACUUGUGUUUCAUCAAGUAAAUAUUCUCAACAUCUACUCGAAUCAUCUGUGAAGUAAGAACAUAACGAUAUUCACUGCAUGCCUCAGCACUUAUUGGACUGCACACAUCAAAAUGUGUUACUUCCAACAAGUUGCUAUCUUGUUCCAUCUUACUGAAAACGAGGCUUUUCAGUCAUCUUGCCCAUGUGGUAUGAUUUGCAUGUCCCAAGUGAUUCAAAAUCAAGUGAGUCAAAACGGUCCAUUUGCAUGGAGUUUCUUCAUGCAUAUAUACCAAUAGACAUGGUUCGCAUGUCUCAAACUUUUCAAAAAUGAGUGAGUCCAAAGAUCCAUCAACAUGGAGCUUCUUCAUGCGUUUUAUACCAUUAUGACUUACAUGGCAGUGCCACAAGUAAGUGGUACUAUCAUUACUAUCUUAUAUCUUUUGGCAUGAAAAUGUGUAUCACUAUGAUCGAGAUUCAAUAAACCAUUCAGGUUUAAUACUAAUCUUGAUGGUAGAGGGAGCGUGCGAUGUUUGAUCAUAUCAACCUUGGAAACACUUCCAACAUAUAUCGUCAGCUCACCUUUAGCUAGUCUCCGUUUUAUUCCGUAGCUUUUAUUUCGAGUUACUAACACUUAGCAACCGAACCGGUAUCUAAUACCCUGGUGCUACUAGGAGUACUAGUAAAGUACACAUUAACACAAUGUAUAUCCAAUAUACUUCUAUCGACCUUGCCAGCCUUCUCAUCUACCAAGUAUCUAGGGUAAUCCUGCUCCAGUGGUUGUUCCCCUUAUUACAGAAGCACUUAGUCUCGGGUUUGGGUUCAACCUCGGGUUUCUUCAUUGGUGCAGCAGCUGAUUUGCCGUUUCAUGAAGUAUCCCUUCCUUGCCCUUGCCCUUAUUAAAACUAGUGGUUUCAUCAACCAUCAACAAUUGAUGCUCCUUCUUGAUUUCUACUUUCGCGGUGUCAAACAUCGUGAAUACCUCAAGGAUCAUCUUAUUUAUCCCUGAUAUGUUAUAGUUCAUCACGAAGCUCUAGCAGCUCGGUGGCAAUGACUUUGGGGAAACAUCACUAUCUCAUCCGGAGGAUCAACUCCCACUCGAUUCAAGUGAUUGUUGUGCUCAGACAAUCUGAGCACAAGCUCAACGAUUGAGCUUUUCUCCCUUAGUUUGCAGGCUAAGAAAAUCGUCGGAGGUCUUAUACCUCUUGACGUGGACACGAGCCUGAAAUCCCAAUUUCAGCCCUCGAAACAUCUCAUAUGUUCCGCGACGUUUCGAAAACGUCUUUGGUGCCUCUACUUAAACCAUUUGACUGAACUAUCACGUAGUUAUCAAAACGUGUAUGUUCGAUGUUCGAAACAUCCACAAACGACGUUUGGGGUUCGGCACACUGAGCGGUGCAUUAAGGACAUAAGCGUUCUACUAUCCGCAUAAUUGCUACUAUCAACUUUCAACUAUAUUUUCUCUAGGAACAUAACUAAAACAGUAGAACUACAGCGUGAACUACGACAUAAUUUGCAAAAGGUCUUUUGACUAUGUUCAGGAUAAUUAAGUUCAUCUUAUGAACUCCCACUCAGAUAGACAUCCCUCUAGUCAUCUAAGUGAUUACAUGAUCCGAGUCAACUAGCCCGUGUCCGAUCAUCACGUGAGACGGACUAGUCAUCAUCGGUGAACAUUUUCAUGUUGAUCGUAUCUGCUAUACGACUCAUGCUCGACCUUUCGGUCUCCGUGUUCCGAGGCCAUGUCUGCACAUGCUAGGCUCGUCAAGUUAACCCUAAGUGUUUUCGCUGUGUAAAACUGUCUUACACCCGUUGUAUGUGAACGUAAGAAUCCAUCACACCCGAUCAUCACGUGGUGCUUAGAAGCGACGAACUGUAGCAACGGUGCACAGUUAGGGGAGAACACUUCUUGAAAUUUUGUAAGGGAUCAUCUUAUUUACUACCGUCGUUCUAAGCAAACAAGAUGCAUAAACAUGAUAAACAUCACAUGCAAUCAAAUAGAGUAGUGACAUGAUAUGGCCAAUAUCAUAUAGCUCCUUUGAUCUUCAUCUUCGGGGCUCCAUGAUCAUCUUGUCACCGGCAUGACACCAUGAUCUCCAUCAUCAUGAUCUCCAUCAUCGUGUCUUCAUGAAGUUGUCACGCCAACGACUACUUCUACUUCUAUGACUAACGCGCUUAGCAAUAAAGUAAAGUAGUUUACAUGGCGUUCUUCAAUGACACGCAGGUCAUACAAAAAAUAAAGACAACUCCUAUGGCUCCUGCCGGUUGUCAUACUCAUCGACAUGCAAGUCGUGAAUCCUAUUACAAGAACAUGAUCAAUCUCAUACAUCACAUAUAUCAUUCAUCACAUCCUUUUGGCCAUAUCACAUCACAUAGCAUACCCUGCAAAAACAAGUUAGACGUCCUCUAAUUGUUGUUGCAUGUUUUACGUGUCUGCUAUGGGUUUCUAGCAAGAACGUUUCUUACCUACGCAAGACCACAACGUGAUAUGCCAAUUGCUAUUUACCCUUCAUAAGGACCCUUUUCAUCGAAUCCGUUCCGACUAAAGUGGGAGAGACUGGCACCCGCUAGCCACCUUAUGCACCAAGUGCAUGUCAAUCGGUGGAACCUGUCUCACGUAAGAGUACGUGUAAGGUCGGUCCGGGCCGCUUCAUCCCACAAUACCGUCGAAACAAGAUUGGACUAGUAACGGUAAGCAUAUUGAACAACAUCAACGCCCACAACUACUUUGUGUUCUACUCGUGCAAAGAAUCUACGCAAUAGACCUAGCUCAUGAUGCCACUGUUGGGGAACGUAGCAGAAAUUCAAAAUUUUCCUACGUGUCACCAAGAUCUAUCUAUGGAGAGACCAGCAACGAGUAGAAAGGGAGGAGAGUUUACAUCUACAUACCCUUGUAGAUCGCUAAGCGGAAGCGUUCAAGUGAACGGGGUUGAUGGAGUCGUACUCGUCGUGAUUCAGAUCACCGAUGAUCAAGUGCCGAACGGACGGCACCUCCGCGUUCAACACACGUACAGCCCGGUGACGUCUCCCACGCCUUGAUCCAGCAAGGGAAGAGGGAGAGGUUGAGGAAGACUCCAUCCAGCAGCAGCACAACGGCGUGAUGGUGAUGGAGGAGCGUGGCAAUCCUGCAGGGCUUCACCGAGCACCUACGGGAGAGGAGAUGUGUCACGGGAGGGAGAGGGAGGCAACCAAAGGCCUUAGGUCUGAUUGCUCCUCCUUUUCCCCACUAUAUAUAGGGCCAAGGGAGAGGGGGAGGGCGCAGCCUUGCCCCCUCCUCCAAGGAAGGGGUGCGGCUAAGGAUGGGGAGGAGUCCAUCCUCCCCAAGGCACCUCGGAGGUGCCUUCCCCCUUGAGGACUCUUCCCUCCCCAAGUUUCCUUGCGCAUGGGCCUCUUGGGGCUGGUGCCCUUGGCCCAUGUAGGCCAAGGCGCACCCCCUACAGCCCAUGUGGCCCCCCGGGGCAGGUGGCCCCACCCGGUGGGCCCCCGGGACCCUUCCGGUGGUCCCGGUACAAUACCGAUGACCCCGAAACUUGUCCCGAUGGCCGAAACAGGACUUCCUAUAUAUAAAUCUUUACCUCCGGACCAUUCCGGAACUCCUCGUGACAUUCGGGAUCUCAUCCGGGACUCCGAACAACAUUCGGUAACCACAUACAAGCUUCCUUUAUAACCCUAGCGUCAUCGAACCUUAAGUGUGUAGACCCUACGGGUUCGGGAGACAUGCAGACAUGACCGAGAUGUUCUCCGGUCAAUAACCAACAGCGGGAUCUGGAUACCCAUGUUGGCUCCCACAUGUUCCAUGAUGAUCUCAUCGGAUGAACCACGAUGUCAAGGACUCAAUCGAUCCCGUAUACAAUUCCCUUUGUCUAGCGGUAUUUUACUUGCCCGAGAUUCGAUCGUCGGUAUACCAAUACCUUGUUCAAUCUCGUUACCGGCAAGUCACUUUACUCGUUCCGUAACACAUCAUCCCGUGAUCAACUCCUUGGUCACAUUGCGCAUAUGAUGAUGUCCUACCGAGUGGGCCCAGAGAUACCUCUCCGUUUACACGGAGUGACAAAUCCCAGUCUCGAUUCGUGCCAACCCAACAGACACUUUCGGAGAUACCUGUAAUGCACCUUUAUAGCCACCCAGUUACGUUGUGACGUUUGGUACACCCAAAGCAUUCCUACGGUAUCCGGGAGUUGCACAAUCUGAUGGUCUAAGGAAAAGAUACUUGACAUUGGCAAAGCUCUAGCAAAUGAACUACACGAUCUUUUGUGCUAGUCUUAGGAUUGGGUCUUGUCCAUCACAUCAUUCUCCUAAUGAUGUGAUCCCGUUAUCAACGACAUCCAAUGUCCAUAGCCAGGAAACCAUGACUAUCUGUUGAUCACAACGAGCUAGUCAACUAGAGGCUCACUAGGGACAUAUUGUGGUCUAUGUAUUCACACGUGUAUUACGAUUUCCGGAUAAUACAGUUAUAGCAUGAAUAAAAGACAAUUAUCAUGAACAAGGAAAUAUAAUAAUAAUACUUUUAUUAUUGCCUCUAGGGCAUAUUUCCAACAUUCACAGCUCUCAAACACGAAGAACAGCGAAGAACGAGAUAGAAAAACAGUGGAGAGAUAAAACGUAGAUGAAAAAGUAGUAUAUUGAUUUGUUCGAUUGUGUGUUGUUCAAUCGGCCGUCACCUCCAACAUAUAUAAGAGGCGGCUGGACUUCCCGUACAAGCAAAGGAUUUAUCUAGGCUUUCCUUACAAGAAAAUUACAUCAAUUCACGUCCUAGAAUCCUAGUUCUGGUCCCACUCAGAUUCAGCCCGAAUCUGGUCCAAUCUUUUGUCUUGCUCCUUGCGUGGGCUGUGGAAUCUGCAUAUGACUUCCGAUGGAGACGGUUCAAAUAUCAAUUAUGUGUGCUUCGACGAGGCCAACAAUCCGUAUGUUGAUCACUUUUCCAAAUAAGGCCAUCUUGAAUACUCCACGGGGUCAUCUCUAAUUUCGAGUCGGACUCGUUCAUGUAGCUGACUGGACCGUCCGACUCUUGCAGCGUCUCUGCAGGUUGUAUACUACGUUGGAUGAUGAUGACUCCAAAAGCAAAGUUGACUUUUUCGACGUUACGAACAACUCCUAUGUUGAACACUUCUUCAUCUGAAGCCAUCUAGAUAAGUAUUUGAUCCCAUCUUCAGCAUCUGGUCGGAUUGGCCUCGAUAGUUUCUACUGUUCACGGCAGCAAGCUUUCCCGGCAAGGUUACUGUUCACGGCGGCAAGCUUUCCCCGGCAGGUUACUAUUCACAGCGGCAGGCUCUUUCCCGGCAAGGUUACUGUUCAUGGCGGCAAGCUCUCCCCCGACAGGUUACUGUUCACGGCGGCAAGCUCUCCCCGGCAAGGUUACUGUUCACGGCGGCAAGCUCUCCCCCGGCAGGUUACUGUUCACGGCGGCAAGCUCUCCCCCGGUAGGUUACUGUUCACGGCGGCAAGCUCUCCCCCGGCAAGGUUUUUGAGGCAGUAAACGACCUCGGAUGAAAAUGUGUCCAAAAGCAAAGUUGACCGUUUUGACGAGACGAAAAACUUUCGUGUUGAACGUUUUCCGAUUCGAGGCCAUCUUCUGGGCCAAAACACUCACGCAUUACAUCAGACACUUGCCAAGACAUGUCUGGUCUUCCGCGUCAUAUUUCGCCUCUUGACAGGGCUGCAUCCAGAUAGCUCUAACUUUUGCAUACGAACUCGGAUUGAAAUAAUUUUUAUAUCAAAAUCAACCGAUUCAACGAGACGAAGACAAUUCAUGUAGAGCAUUCCUUCAUCCGAGAUUGUCCUGGAGGCGUACUUGACCAAAAAGCACUCAGAACACCUAAACAUGACAAUCUGAGUGUAGUUUUGGUCUUUGAUAUGAUGCCGAAUGAUUAUGGUCCAAACAUCAAAGUUGUUCCACUCGGCAAUGUGAAAUUUCUUAUUUAGAAUAUUUUUUCAUUUGAGGCCAUCUCCAUUGCAUUCUGCAUUGUGCCAAAAUCAGGUGUCAACACUGGGCCCCACCCACGUGCCCACACCCUCUCUCCUCUCUUUUGCUCUCUCCUCUCCCAUGCCCCCCUCUCUCGAGCGCGCCAACGAGGCAACGAGGCCAGCGUCCGGCGUGCAGGGCAGCGAGGUCGCGUGGCCGGCGUCCGGCGUGCUUGACGAGGUCGCCUCGGGCGGAUGCUUCGCAGGCUCGCCGGCGUGAGGGGGCGCCCGGGUGCAUCUCCACGCCCUGCUUCCUCCUCGACGAGCACUCACGCCGCACCCUGCUUCCUCUCCGCCACCUCGACGCCCGGCCGCGCGCGCCCUGCUUCCGCCUCGCCGAGCCGUGUCGACGCCCUGCCGCGGAGCCGCCGCUGGGCUUCACGAACACGCCGGAGGACGGUCUCCUGCAAGCUGCAGCAGGGGAGCUGGGCCGCGCGGAGAGCAGGAGAAGCACACGGGCGCAGCUCCAGCGGUGGCUCUUCCUCUUGGUCAGCCGCACAUGGAGGUGGCGGUGGAGUCGCAAGUGUUGUCGCCGCGGGCGCCGAGGAGGACGAGCUGCUGCGCGACGCUAUCAUGCCGAGGGAGCGCGCGGCGGCGAAGACGGCGAGUCCGGAGUCCGGGUUGACGUGGACGACAUAGACGCGGGACUCCAUCAUGGUGACCCGCAUGAGCAGGUCGGCGAUGGCGGCCGCGUCGGCGUCCGGAGGGAAGGGCGCCUUGAAGGAGACCUUGGCGCGCUGGGCCUCGAGUGCGUCGCCGAGGGCGUCGACAACGCCGCAGCCGUAGUCGUUGUCGACGUAGAUGACGGUGACCUCUCUCCAGCCAUAGUAGGUGACGAUGUCGGCAACGACGACCAUCUGGGAGGAGUCGCCUGCGCUGGGAGGGCGUUGACGACUGGAAAAUUUGUCGUUCCCAGAACAAAAAAUCCGCCGGUGCCUUUCAGGAGGCGGAAAAAACACCUCCUGGGGCACAAUGGUUGAAGAUGCUCUAAAAUCCUUCAGAAUCUUGAUGCGAGGUAUGCCAAGGCCUACAUCAUCAUGUUCUUCUUUGGUAAGUCAACUAGUAUCAUUACUUUGGUUAUUUAAAAUAGAUACGGAUUCUACUGCAAUUUUGGUAUAUACAGUAUAAUCAAUUAACAACAAAAUCAAAAUGGAUGGUAAAUUAUGAUGGUUAUCUCUACUCCUAAUGUCUCAGUUGGUAGGUCGCAUUCCGGGUUUUAUUUUCGUCCCACCUCAUCCGGUCUUUUUUGGUACUUCUUUGGUACUUCCUCCCACCUCCCCCUCAGCCGUGAAAAACUAAGAAAAACCCCGCGAUCGAGUCCCGCACACGCCCAAACUCCCGUCGUUAUCUCUACUUCUAAUGGAGCAGUUGGUAGCCUUGUACGGUUUAUUUUCGUCCCACCACUUUCAACCGUUUUAUUUUGCUAGUUUUUUUUCGUCCCUCCCCCACCCCACCGGUUUAGUUUCGCAUCACCCUCUCACACAACGAAAAAAAUCUUAACGGAUCAUAACUUUCCAUGCUGGUGCAAGUUAUUUUUAGUAAUGUCUUUAUGUGAAAGAAUCAAUCACGAUCAAUCUCUAAAUCAAAUCUAAAUUAAUUAACCUUACCUUAAAUUGCUCAAUCACAUUAAUUAGGAAACAAAAUAACCGAUUUUAAGAAAAUAUCUACUCUUAAUGGAGGGUAUUACAUACCAAACAUAGGUACGUCAUUAGCUCGCUUCCUUCCCUUCGUCCCUCAGUCCCAUGCUCGUGGCGCUGAAGUGGCAUCGACAGGCGAUGGCAGCGAGGACAGCACGUGGCAGCCCCUGAAGCACGAACACGACUGCACCUCGGGUCUGCCGUCUCCCAAGAUAUGGGUGAGUUCUCGUGAUGCCCACCCUAAACCCUCACGUCCUACAAAUUCCUCAACCUCUACCAUCUCCAUUUCGUCCAUGCUCUGAUCCAAAUGACGAUGUAGCUCCGGCCAAUUGACAAUGGAGGUUUGCCAUCCUUCCUCUCAGCACCCACUCCUGGAGGAACGACACGCCAUCCCAAUCGAACCCGGUCGAGAUCACUCACCAAGAUUGCUAUUCGGAAGAAGAGUGGGACGGGAUCUGCACUUUUGUUAAUAUAACAUAUACUUGUGCAGGUGCAGGUUUUGUUUUAAAAAUCCAAUUUGUUUAUCCUUUUGUCGCUGAAAUUGUUUACUAAUUAUGUCAUUGGUUUUAUUUCUUCUAGAUGUUGUAUAUUCUUGGAUUGAAGGGACUGUCUGACAAGGUGAAAGAGCUAAUCUCUACUCCUAAUGAUCAUGGGCUAAUCUCUACAGUUUAUUUUUGUCUGGUUUUUUUCGUCCCACCUCCACCCCCUAGCCAGCCCCACCCCUCGAUCUUCUCCAAGUUUCCGGUUUUCUUUUUUCAUGCAGGAAAUCAGGACACAAUCUAUCUUUCCUUUAAUGCACAUCUCCCCAGUAAAAAAAUCAGGACACUAUCCCCUCCUUCCUAUUAACACUAACACACAUUUCUUCUGAAAAUCUGGGACGUAAUCCUCUCCUUCCCACUAAUCUCUCUUAUAUGGCUUUCCCAUAAUUAUGUCGGUCCUGCUCAGUUUGAUAUAAUUCAAUUUGGACGAAGGACGCCAGAGAUUAACUUUCGCUGGCAGAGAAAGAGACUAGGGAUUGAUUGGUUUUAAACAUUGGAUUCGGUAUUAGCUUAACAUCUGCAGGAACAAGACGACCAUAGGAAAGGCUGGCUUGCUCGACCUGCAUGUUUCCUGUAUAUUCAUUCUCUCUCCAAUUCUAAUAUAGUCCAAUUGAUCAUUGUAUAUUUAUCUAAUCAUGGUUCCUAUAUCGUUUUGUAUGGCAACGUGAUGGGGUCGCAUCCACAUGGGGGAAUAUCGCAGAUUGGAUCGGAAGCAGGCCGCACAGAUGAACCACCCCACCUCGUUGUCUGCCUGCACGAUCUCCAUUAAUAUCCAGCGCCGCCUCUUGAGUGGACGACCUGCAUGUCGCCAACAACACCACUUACCUCUGCGCUCCGACCAAAGAUCAUUGUCUAGGUGAGGGUACCUCGCCACAAGCCCGCAACAGUUGCCGUCACUGUUGAUUAUUCGUACUCAGAUUAAGUUUCAGGCUCAGUCGUCUCUGUUGUCACUCGUCAGCGCACAGACGAUGGGUUGGUGCCAUACUAUCAUGUGGCAUCUCCGUCGUUCUGGGCCGGGAAGAUAACAGAUUUUCAGAAAACAAAUAAUACAUUUUAACCUAACUUUUUUAAAUUAUGUAAAUCAAUCGAUUCCUUUUAUUGGUUCAAUUUGUCUUAGGAAACAAAUAACAGAUUUUUAGAAAACAAAUAAUACAUUUUAAUCUAACUUUCCUAACUUAUGCAAAUCAAUCGAUUCCUUUUAUUGGUUCAAUUUGUCUUAGAAACAAAUAACAGAUUUUCAGGAAACAAAUAAUACAUUUUAAUCUAACUUCUUUAAAUUAUGCAAAUCAAUCGAUUUCUUUUAUUGGUUCAAUUUGUCUUAGGAAACAAAUAACAGAUUUUCAGGAAACAAAUAAUACAUUUUNNNNNNNNNNNNNNNNNNNNNNNNNNNNNNNNNNNNNNNNNNNNNNNNNNNNNNNNNNNNNNNNNNNNNNNNNNNNNNNNNNNNNNNNNNNNNAGAUUUUUAGGAAACAAAUAAUACAUUUUAAUCUAACUUUCCUAACUUAUGCAAAUCAAUCGAUUCCUUUUAUUGGUUCAAUUUGUCUUAGAAACAAAUAACAGAUUUUCAGGAAACAAAUAAUACAUUUUAAUCUAACUUCCUUAAAUUAUGCAAAUCAAUCGAUUUCUUUUAUUGGUUCAAUUUGUCUUAGGAAACAAAUAACAGAUUUUCAGGAAACAAAUAAUACAUUUUAAUCUAACUUUCCUAACUUAUCUAAAUCAAUCGAUUCCUUUUAUUGGUUCAAUUUGUCUUAGGAAACAAAUAACAGAUUUUCAGAAAACAAAUAAUACAUUUUAAUCUAACUUCCUUAAAUUAUGCAAAUCAAUUGAUUCCUUUUAUUGGUUCAAUUUGUCUUAGGAAACAAAUAACAGAUUUUUAGGAAACAAAUAAUACAUUUUAAUCUAACUUUCGUAACUUAUUAGUGAAAUUUGUUUUAGGAAACAAAUAACAGACACGUCAUCACGUCACAACUUUCCUCCCAAUAAAUAGUUUCUUAACAUUUGCAAACUUUCCUAAUCAGACACGUCACAAACGGGCAGGUACUGAUAUCACGUUAUCCAACAAUAAAACCCCAUUUGCAUAGAAAUCAGUUCAAAAAUCCUAACUUUCCUAAAUUUUUACCUUUCCUUGAUAACAACAAACAUUUUCUAUGUUUUCCAUCGAUAUUAGCAUUUUUUUGAACUGAGAUCUCCGGGUUAUGAUUUUUUUUGUGAUUCUUUUCAAUUGUGACCUCUCCUUUCACUCCGGCUCCUUGUCGGAUAAACACCUCCACCAUAGCCAGGUGACACCGCCCCAGACCUCCUGCCUCUCCACAACUUCUCCGCCACCUCCUUCUCCUACUCCAUUAACAAUCCCUCCGCCACAUUUGUCCACGGCGGUGUCGAGGGCAUGGUGCAGCAGCGUACCAGCGGUAGAGCAGCGCAUAGCAGCAUGAAGCAACACGCAGUAGGCGAGGCUGAGGGGGCGGCCGGCAGAAGAUGGCCAUGACUGGAGACGGCGCGAGGCAGGGGGGCAGCAGACGGGGCGAGCGCAGCCAGCGAGAGUGUGGCGCGCGACCAGGGUGUGUGUCGCGUGGGGCACAGUGGUGCGGUGGCUGCGGCGAGCGCGACGGCAGCGGCGGGCGCGACCGACGCGGUGUAGCACGGGCGUGGGCAUGGAGAGGGAGUGGCCCCGCGGGCGCGGAAGAAGAGCGGCAGGCUCGGGCAUGGGCGUGCAUAGGAGCGGGCAUGUGCCACGGGGUCAAUCCGAGGAGCUCGGUGGCUACCCCUGCAAUGGCCAUGGCGGACGGCGGUUCUCGGCCACGGCGAAAUACCUAACGAGAGCAAACGAGAGGGGAGACAAGGGAAAGGCAAGAGGAGAUCAUGGCGGUGUCAAUGGCGCCUUAGGCGAAGACAUGGGAGCUCGGGGCGGCGCGGAUCGAACGGCAAUGUCGCGGUGGCCCAAGGUUGAGGAAGACGGCAGCGACAUCGAUGCGGGGGUGCUGGACUUGAUCUCGUUGGCGCAGACGAAGUAGCGAAGGCAUUCAGAGCUCCUCGACAAGCUCCUAGCCCGCAGGGACGGCAGUGGCCAUGUGGACGGGGUCGGUCAUGGUGGCCGUGGCGUCUGACUUCUUCCAGAUCGACGGGAUCGAGCGAGCGAGGAGGAGAAGUGGAUUUGGGAGGGGGCGUCAAGGAGGAGUGAGGCCAUGGGGUAGGGAAGGCAGGGCGUCACCCUUAUCCAUUCCCCUUCGAUGCCAGCGAGGUGGUCGGGCGGGAGCCCGUCUCUGUAGCGAUGCGGCUCGGGGAACAGGAGAAGACGACCGCGUGGGGACUGGACCGCUGAGCCGGUUUGGUGGCAAGGCCCGGGGGGCAGGGCGAAUCCCCUUUUACAUCGUCCUUUUGGUUUUUCAAUGUAUUCUAAUCUGUUUCUCCUUUUUAACACCGUUUUCUAUUUAUUCUUAUCAACUAAAUGAUCUCUACUCCUAAUGUCUCAGUUGGUAGUCUCCGUUUCGGGUUUAUUUUCGUCCCACCUCCGAGUGAGGGAGAGGGGGAGAGAGAGUAAGGAAGAGGGAGGGAGAGGGUGUGUGUGUGUGAGAAUUUGAUGGUAAAAAAGGUCGUCGAUGUCACUUAAUAUGUAUGGGAAUAUUCAAUGUAAUAUUAACAUAAUUGAUAUUGAACUUUUAAAAUUAAUGUGACCCCGUUGCAACGCACGGGCAUUCUUCUAGUUAGGUAUAAAAUAUGUCUACCCUAUUUUUUGUACACAAACCCAAUCCCAGGUGGAGACUACCAAAAGCCCUCGGCUCCAUCGCGCGACAAGCGCAUCUGCGACCAUGUCGGCGUCGUCGCUAAUGGAAGACCUCGUGGAGCAAAUCCUUGUCCGCCUCCCGCCGGAAGAUCCCGCGUGCCUCGUGCGCGCGUCGCUCGUCUGCAAACCCUGGCGUCGCCUCGUCGCCGGCCCCGCCUUCCGCCGCCGGUACCGCGAGUUCCACCGGAGACCUCACCUGCUGGGCGUCCUCCAAAUCCUGCAAGGCGAUGAACCUUACUACUCCCGAUUCGUCCCCACCUCCGUCUUUCGCGUUGUGGAUCCCGUCCUUCCAUGUUGGUUGGUUGUCGACUGCCGCCACGGCCAGGCCCUCUUCGCCACCACAAACCCGCGCAUCGAGGGGACCUUGGACCUCGUCGUCUGGGAACCCAUGACGGACGACCAACGCCGUGUUCCGCAGCCCUCGCCGGAGCCGGAGGACUACGUCGACUACGCAGCGGCGGUGCUCUGUGCCGCGGAAGGCUGCGACCACUGCGGCUGCGAGGGUGGGCCCUUUCGUGUGGCCUUCGUAUCCACCGACAAGGGGAAGGGGGUGACCUCCGCCCGCCUGUACUCGUCGGAGACUGGCGCGUGGAACGACAUCACCUCUCUUCAUCACCCCGAGGCCAGUGCCCACUUUGCGGCUAGCGUCCAUGUGGGAGACGCGCUCUACUUCCGCGGCAUCGAGAAUUACACCAUCGAGUAUCAACUUACGACAGCCCGCCUGUACGUGUUGGAGGCGCUGGCCAAGUGUAAUGGGAGGCCUGGGGUUCGCCGCUGUGGAUAACACCAUCAUAACCCUGUGGGCAAGGGAGACUGGCUCUGGCGCCGGGGGAGCAGAGAUAUGGACGCAACGCAGGGUAAUCGAUCUCAAGACGCUGCUUUCUGGAGAUGCCCUCUCACACUCAAUUAACGGAAUCAAAUACUAUAGUUGGAUUCCCGUUGUAUCUGUGGUCGGCUUUGCUGAGGGCACUGAUACCAUUUUUGUUGGCACCGUUGCUUGCGUCUACAUGAUUGAACUCAAGUCAGGCCGGGUCAGGAAGGUGCUCGAUGACUUUGGGAGAGUCUGCGCCUACAUGAGCUUCUACAUUCCAGGUAUCCCGCCUUGAUUUUUCAGUUGGCACUUACAUUUUCAAUCAAAGUAGUAUAUCACUUUCUAAGUCGUAACGAUAUGGAUGCAUGGCUUCUCAUACACUAGAAUUUCUUUGACGGUGAUAUUUGUGCUCAAGAAACAAAGGGUUUAUUUCCCAUCCGGAAUAGUAGCAAGUUUGUCUUCUCUUAAUGAUUUUGUGCAUGUGUGGGCAAAGCUGCUGCCAAUAGGUUAUCUUCUAUAUCUAAAUAGCAAGCUCCCGUUAACCUAUUUCGCUCGACAUGCAAGCGUGACACCUCAUCAAGCAACAUGCAUUAGAAAAUGGCCACCUCAACAUUCAAUGAGUCAUAGAAAAAGGUUCAUCUCAACAUGCAAACAUGCAUGAUAUUUUACAAAAGUACAAUAAUCAAACACAAUAAAUCAUAUAUAUAUUUUUAGUUUUAGCUCUUAUAUUGUUUCUCCUAAUAUUCUCAUUCCAUAAAAUCAAUAUCAUUGAAAUAUAUUGUAAAUAUUCCCGCAACAACGUGCGGAGCAUCAUCUAGUUAUUAAUGUUUUGGAGAGUUAGACUUGUUGGCCUUUAGUCGAUGGUAAGCAGCUUUUUUUAUUUCUGAAUUCUUGUAUUUCUGCAGACAUGGAAGUAGCUUCUACAGCUGAGGGGCCAAAAGAGUGUGUUUUAAAUCUAUGACAAACUCUAUAUGCUGGAGCAGGGCUUCUUCAUCAAGGUGGAACUGUGGAAGUGACUUGUAGUGAUUUCAUACAUAGCCUAAGUGGUGCAUUGUGGUACAUGACUUUAUAUAGGACCUGCAAGUCCACUUUUUAUUGCUGUUCUUCACUUGGCCUUCUGGCCUUAUGGGACUUUGUUAAUGGCUUGUUUCCCUCAAAUCGUUAGCUUUGCCUCUUGGUGUCAAGUUUCACUAUGGCUUCACUAUAAGGGAUUGCAGAUCAGCAUAAUAUAUACUAGAUGGAUACACGUACUUCGCCGCGCCGGGAACCGUUGCCUUGGAUUGCUAACUGGUAGUGCCUUGUAACAACAUAUGUUUUUUUCCUUGCAGAACAAUAUAUAAAUUAUUAUGUUGUGAUGUUCAAACAAAAAAUUAAGUAGCACUAUAAGCAUGGUACAUUAGGUUGUAAAUUUAGUAUUGCAGGCAACAUAAUUUUCUUCUGAUAACAUCUAAUGAUCUGCCAACACCAUAUACAUAAGCAAGCAUGGAAGGCACCACACUUACAAAUCAAUGAAAUACAAGCAGUAAUUUGAUGGGCUACACAUCUUUUUAUCACGUAUACUUCAUUCAUUCACAAAUAUAAGACGUUCUAAUUUUUUUUUCUGAAUCAGGCAUAUAUAGACACGUUGUGUGUUUCACUUAUUUUUGUCGUAUAUAGUCCAUAUUAAAAUAUUCAAAACAUCAUAUAUAUAUAUAUAUAUAUGUGAAUGGAGGGAGUAGAAGAUAAUACAUCACAAAGGUAAAUUGACUUCAAUAAAAUAAAUACGUACACAAGACACCAUCUGUGCCAGCUACUGCUCUGGGCGUGGGCCUUCGGGGCGCAACGUACAUCGUCGCCAGCACUCUCUCGACAAUUCUUUCUCUAGGUCUGCCCAGGCCCUGCCAUCCACUUGCUGACUUUCUCUUGCGCAAUGGGUGGGGGUAAGUUGGUUUGUGUUGUCUUGGGUCUUGGUCAUGUUGUAGAGGUCUUCGAUGUUGGUUGUGACGCGGCUUGGUUGCUCUAUGGUUUGCUUCAUUGUCAUUGGCAUGAGGUUGGUCUAGAUGAUGCAUGUCAUAUAGUACGCGUGGUGUGUGCGGCUUCUAAUUCUAGUGAUUAGUGUUGUAAUGGCCGAAAAGCGUUGUACCCGGCUUCUUGCCGCUUCUUUCACAUAGAACACUUUAGACAGGUAAAUUCUUUGCUCGCGAAUGCACUCACUAACUCUAACCGACUACUCUUACAAUUCAAGUGUCCUAUCAACCGGCUAUGUUAGUCUCUUUUUUUUAGGGAAAGCCAUCAUGGCGGUUUAUAUUUCAUGUAAAAAUAAGGAUACAUCGUUCAAUAAAACAUCCACUAGAAGCCCUGGAGGCUCGGUCUUCCAAACAAUAGUUCGAGAUGUCUCCGAGUUCCUAGCCAAAACAUCUGCUGCCAUAUUGGCUUCCCUAGGACAAUGAUUAAAUACUAUAAAACUGAAAUUACGAGCUAAGAAAGAGCACUCUUCAUAGAUGGCCGCCGCCGGUCCGAGGGAGUUCCCGCCGCUGUGCAUAACCUCAAUCACCUCCAUGCAAUCUGCUUCGACGUAUAGUUUGUUGCAUCCCAGAUCAUUUGCUAACAACAGCCCAUCUCUCAGGGCCCUUGCUUCCGUCGUCGCCGCGUCCUCCGCAAAGGAAAUAUCACCGCAUGAAGCAGCCAUGAAAAUUUCCAUGUCAUCAUGUAAUAUUGCUCCUGUACUCCCGGAGCCACUAUCCAGAUCAAAACCAACAUCUAUAUUAAGUUUCACAGUGCCUUCAGGUGGCUUCUCACAGCCAUGUCUCCUAAUCCUCGCCUUCUUUUAUCUCGCUCUCGUGAAAUUCUUUGCUAAUGCAGCAAUGGCCUAUGCUGAUCUGGCUGGGUCCUGUAGGAGAUCCUCAUGAACGUAGCGACGUCGUUCCCACCACACGUACCACACAGUAGUGGCCACUAGUUCAUUACGUUGGACCCCUGACAUCGAAGGCUGCAAACUGCUCCUGGACAAAAAUAAAUCAGCUAGUGCUCUGCAGCAGCACAUACUUCAAUUACCAUAUGUCCCAGCCCCAGAAUGCGCCAUACUUCCUGGACCCUAGGGCAUAAGAAGAGGGCAUGUUUGAUACUUUCACAAUCAGCAGUACAGAGAGGACACUGCGAGCUAGUAAUCAUAUGUCUGUUAGCUAGAACCCCCAUGCAAGGGAUAGCUCCAAGUAAAGCUCUCCACACAUGAAUUUUUAUCUUGGCCAGCACACAUAAUUUCCAAAUGGUUCUCCAAAUAGGACUAGUACUUGAGGAUUGAACCGAGUUUGUCGUCCUCAACUUUUGUCCAUGUUGGUGUUCCCAUUCUUCAUAAUAAGCUGACCUUACAGAGAAAAUACCAUUCUUAUUGAAGUGCCAAGAGACAAAAUCACUCAUCAUUCCCAGGGCCAAGGGAAUGUUCAGAAUACGUUGCACAUCAAUGGGCCAAAACAAUUCAUUAAGUAACUGCUCAUCCCAAACUCUGUUCUCUUCAUCGAUUAAAUUAGAGGAUGAUGACUCAACAUAAAAGUAAAUAGAUAGGCCCUUCGCAGAGGGAAGCAGGGAUUUGUAGAGGUGCUAGAGCUCGGUUUUGAAAUAGAGGUUAAUAAUAUUUUGAGCGGUAUACUUUCAUUGUCAACAUAACAACCAAGAGAUGGCGAUAUCUUCCAUGCUACACACAUUAUAGGCGGUUCCCAAACAGAAUGGUAAAGUUUAUACUCCCCCUUCCACCAACAAGCAUCAAUCCAUGGCUUGCUCGAAACAACGAGUGCCUCCAACUAACAAGAGUUCCAAGGGGAGUUUCGUUUGCAAUUAUUUUGAAUUAGUUUGCAUAAAGCAUGGGACUGGGCAUCCCGGUGACCAGCCAUUUAUCUCGUGAGUGAGGAGCGGAGUCCACUCCUCUUGAGAAUAACCCGCCUAACAUGGAAGAUACGGACAACCCUAGUUGAUACAUGAGCUAUUCGAGAAUACAAAAAAGGAUAUUUAUUUGAAGGUUUAGAGUUUGGCACAUACAAAUUUACUUGGAACGGCAGGUAGAUACCGUAUAUAGGUAGGUAUAGUGGACUCAUGUGGAAUAACUUUGGGGUUUAAGGGAUUGGAUGCACAAGCAGUAUUCCUGCUUAGUACAAGUGAAUCCUAGCAAAAGACUGGGAAGCGACCAGCUAGAGAGCGACAAUAGUCAUGAACAUGCAUUAAAAUUAAUCAACACCGAAUGCAAGCAUGAGUAGGAUAUAAUCCACCAUGAACAUAAAUAUCGUGAAGGCUAUGUUGAUUUUGUUUCAACUACGUGCGUGAACAUGUGCCGAGUCAAGUCACUUAAAUCAUUCAAAGGACGAUACCACCCUAUCAUACCACAUUAUAACUAUCUCAAUAGCAUGUUGGCACGCAAGGUAAACCAUUAUAACUCAUAGCUAAUCAAGCAUGACACAAGAAACUAUGAUCUCUAGUUGUUAUUGCGAACAUGUUUAUUUAUAAUAGGCUGAAUCAGGAACGAUGAACUAAUCAUAUUUACAAAAACAAAAGAGGUCGAGUUCAUACCAGCUUUUCUCAUCUUAGCUAGUCCAUCAUAUAUCAUCAUAAUUGCCUUUCACUUGCACGAUCGAAUGGUGUGAAUAAUAAUAAUAGUGCGCGUGCAUUGGACUAAGCUGGAAUCUGCAAGCAUUCAAUAAACAGAAGAAGACAAGGCAAUAUGAGCUCUUUUGUCAGAUAAACAAUAAUACAUAUAAGAGCCAUUUCAAUAAUUUAAUUAUGGUCUUAUCCUAUCGACCCCGAAAGAAAAGAAAAGAAAUAAAACUAUUUACACGGAAAAGCUCCCAACAAGCAAAAGAAGAACAGGAAAUAUUUUUGAGUUUUCUUUUUAAUUACUACUACAAGCAUGGAAAGUAAACUAAUUAAAAGCUACAACUAAUUUUUUUUGUUUUUCUUAAGGUUUAUUAAACACACAAGAGGAAAGCAUAAAAAGGAAAAUAAACUAGCAUGGAUGAUACAAUGAGAAAGUAUAAGCACCAACAUCUAGCAAUGAGUGUGUGAACAUAAAUGUAAUGUCGGUGGGAAAUACGUACUCCCCCAAGCUUAGGAUUUUGGCCUAAGUUGGUCUAUGGCCACAGCUGGCCUGGUGGAUAUCCAUAAUAAUAGUUGGGGUCGUACUGCUAUGAGGAAGAAGAAGGCUCCGAUUGCCACUGGCUGGCAAUCAUCUCCGGAUCCCACUGGUAAUUAGACUGUCGUGAGGGAUCAAAUUGUGGUUCCGGCUCUGACUCCUCAGCUGGUGCAGGGUUCUGGUAGGCUUGAAUAGCCUUCAACGGAACAAGGUACGUGCUUGAAGAUAAAUCAAACAAAAAAGGAGCAAGCAGAGUAAUAGUCUCAGGAUGAUGUUUAUUAAAGAACAAUUGAUAUUUAAGCUCUCCUAUCCUAUUCUUAACAAUAAAAUCAUGUGCCACCACACUUUUAUAAUCUAGAUAAACACGAGGCAACACCUUUUCUUCCUUCUCAAAAUGCCUAAUAGGUAUGUUAAAAUGUGCAGCUAGGCGUGAAACAUAGAUGCCUCUAAAGAUAGGGCCUUUGGUAUGGUUCAGACUUAACCAUUUGGCAAUAAUACCGCCCAUACUAAAAGUGUUAUCACUUUAUAAACCAUGGAGAAGAAUAAUACUAUCAGGGAUGCUCAGGUUUCCAUAGUUUCCGCGACCAAUUAAACAACGACUAGCAAAUAAUGCAAAGUAACGUAAAACAGGAAAAUGUAUGCUAGUGAUUCGUGCAUCAGAAACCUUCCUUGUUUCCCCUACAGUGAUAGUGUCAAUAAACCCUUCCACAUCAUCACGAUGUGGUUCUUCUGUCUUGCCCUCAAAAGGGACUAAACAAAUCCGACAGAAAUCAUAAAGUGACAUCUCCUUAUGCUCAUCAUAUAAAUGAAACUCCACCGUAGGUGGCGAGUUCCUAGAAUGGAAAUGAAAGUUUUGCACAAAGGUAUUUGUGAGUAAGAGAUACUGAUCGCAUUGGUCGUGGAGGAAAGCGGUGAGGCCUGCAUUCCUAGCCAUUUCAUGAAAAUCUUCAUAGAUAUCGGCUGCUCUCAAGAAAUCAUCAGAAGGCCAUUCACACGCCCGAAUCUCCAUGGUGCGCGACAAAUUAUACUUAGGCUUCGGUGCCUUUUCCUUCGAGCUUUGGCUCGACGAGCCCCUCAAUAAUCUCCUCAUCAUUUUCUGAAAAAUUCUGAAAUUUUUAGUAACUUCAAAAUAAAAGUAAACCAAACUCAAUAAUAUUGAUAGCAACUACUACUACAAGUGCCUAGGGCCUAUAUCAUGCAUCAAAACUACUUUUGACCAUAUAAAUUUGACAUGCAAGCUCAAUAACAGGGUCACCUAAGCAGCAAAAAUUUGCAAUGAAUAAAGCACUAGAACAAAAACUAAUUGGACCAACGGAGGAGUCACAUACCAAGGAACAAUCUCCCCAAGUAGUUUUGUGAGAGGUGCUUUGAGCAAGGAGAUCGAAAAUGGCAGCAAACGAGCUUGGACUCGGGUUUGAGCUGGAUAUUCGUGUUUGUGGGAGGAAGAAGAAGUGUAUGGGUGAAAGGAUAAGUGGAGGAGGGCCACCGUGGGCCCAUGAGGCAGGGGGUGCGCCCAGGGGGGUAGGGCGCGCCCUCCACCCUCAUGGGCAGGUGGUUGGCCCCCCUGCUGUGUUCUUAGUGCCAAAUAUUCUAGAAAAAAAAUCAUAUUUAAGUUUCAGGGCAUUUGGAGAACUUUUAUUUUCGGGGUAUUUUUAUAUUGUACGGAUAAUCGGAUAACAGACAGAAAAAUAUUUAUUUUAAUUUUAUUUAAUAUAAAUAACAGAAAGUAAAAGUGGGGUACAGAGGGUUGUGCCUUCUAGUUUCAUCCAUCUCAUGAUCAUCAAAAGGAAUCCACUAACAAGGUUGAUCAAGUCUUGUUAACGAACUCAUUCCGAAUAACAUGGAACCGGAGAAAUUUCGAAUAACACUAUGUUACCUCAACGGGGACAUGCACAUCCCUAAUAAUAAGAAUGUCAUAUUUCUUCUUAACAGUAGGAAGAGGAAAUUCAAAACCUCCAAAUAUAAUAGAUGGAAUUUUUCCAAUAGAGUUGAUACUACGAACUUGAGGUUGUUUCCUCGGAAAGUGUACCGUAUGCUCAUUACCAUUAACAUGAAAAGUGACAUUGCCUUUAGUGCAAUCAAUAACAGCCCCUGCAGUAUUCAAAAAGGGUCUUCCAAGAAUAAUAGACAUACUAUCGUCCUCGGGAAUAUCAAGGAUAACAAAGUCCGUUAAAAUAGUAACGUUUGCAACUACUACAGGCACAUCCUCACAAAUACCGACAGGUAUAGCAGUUGAUUUAUCAACCAUUUGCAAAGAUAUUUCAGUAGGUGUAAACUUAUUCAAAUCAAGUCUACGAUAUAAAUAGAGAGGCAUAACACUAACACCGGCUCCAAGAUCACAUAAAGCAGUUUUAACAUAAUUUCUUUUAAUGGAGCAUGGUAUAGUUGGUACACCUGGAUCUCCAAGUUUCUUUGGUAUUCCACACUUAAAAGUAUAAUUAGCAAGCAUGGUGGAAAUUUCAGCUUCCGGUAUCUUUCUUUUAUUUGUAAUGAUAUCUUUCGUAUACUUAGCAUAAGGAUUGGUUUUGAGCAUAUCAGUUAAUCGCAUACGCAAAAAGAUAGGUCUAAUCAUUUCAGCAAAGCGCUCAAAAUCCUAAUCAUCCUUUUUCUUGGAUGGUUUGGGAGGAAAAGGCAUGGGUUUCUGAACCCAAGGCUCUCUUUCUUUACCAUGUUUCCUAGCAACAAAGUCUUUCUUGUCAUAUUGUUGAUUCUUUGAUUGUGGGUUAUCAAGAUCAACAACAGGUUCAAUUUCUAUAUCAUUAUCAUUACUAGGUUGAGCAUCAUCAUGAACAUUAUUAUUAGCAUUAUCACUAGUUUCAGGUUCAUUACCAGAUUGUGUUUCAGCAUCAGAAAUAGAAAUAUCAUUUGGAUUCUCAGGUGUUUCAACAAUAGGAUCACUAGAAGCAUGCAAAGUCCUAUCAUUUUUCUUUUUCUUCCUUUUAGAAGGACUAGGUGCAUCUAUAUUAUUUCUGUGAGAAUCUUGCUCAAUUCUCUUAGUGUGGCCUUCAGGAUACAAAGGUUCCUGAGUCAUUCUACCAGUUCUAGUAGCCACUCUAACAACAUUAUCAUUAUUCUUAUUAUUCAAUUCAUUGAGCAAACCAUUUUGAGCUUUAAGUACUUGUUCUACUUGAGUGGUAACCAUAGAAGCAUGUUUACUAAUAAGUUUAAGUUCACCUUUAACAUUAGCCAUAUAAUCACCCAAGUGUUCAAGCAUAUUUUAAUUGUAUUUUAAUUGUCUACCAAAAUAAGCAUUAAAGUCUUCUUGCUUAGCCAUAAAUUUAUCAAACUCAUCUAAGCAUGGGCUAGCAAACUUAGUAAAUGGGAUUUCAGCUUUAUCAUAUCUAUAGAGAGAAUUUACCUUUACUACCUGUGCCGGGUUAUCAAGACCAUGAGUUUCUUCAAUAGGACAAGGAUUUGGAUUAUAUGUUUCUUCAACAGGCGGUAAAUUAAGACCAUGUAUUUCUUCAAUAGGAGGUAAAUUAUUAACAUCUUCAGCUUUAAUACCUUUUUCUUUCAUAGAUUUCUUUGCCUCUUGCAUAUCUUCAGGACUGAGAAAUAGAAUACCCCUCUUCUUCGGAGUUGGUUUAGGAAUAGGCUCAGGAAUUGGCUCCGGAGGUGUCCAAUUAUUUUCAUUUGUCAACAUAUUGUUCAAUAGAAUUUCAGCUUCAUCUGGUGUUCUUGCCCUAAAAAUAGAACCAGCACAACUAUCCAGGUAAUCUUUGGAGGCAUUGGUUAGUCCAUUAUAAAAGAUAUCAAGUAUUUCAUUUUUCUUAAGAGGAUGAUCAGGCAAAGCAUUAAGUAAUUGGAGAAGCCUCCCCCAAGCUUGUGGGAGACUCUCUUCUUCAAUUUGCAUAAAAAAAUAUAUAUCCCUUAAAGCAGCUUGUUUCUUAUGAGCAGGGAAAUAUUUAGCAGAGAAGUAAUAAAUCAUAUCUUGGGUACUACGCACACAACCAGGAUCAAGAGAAUUAAACCAUAUCUCAGCAUCACCCUUCAAUGAGAAUGGAAAUAUUUUGAGGAUGUAAAAGUAACGAGUUCUCUCACCUUUAGUGAACAGGGUGGCUAUAUCAUUUAAUUUAGUAAGAUGUGCCACAACAGUUUCAGAUUCAUAACCAUGAAAAGGAUCAGAUUCAACUAAAGUAAUUAUAUCAGGAUCAACAGAGAAUUCAUAAUCCUUAUCAGUAACACAGAUAGGUGAAGUAGCAAAAGCAGGGUCAGGUUUUAUUCUAGCACUUAGAGAUUGCUUACUCCAUUUAGCUAAUAACCUUUUAAGUUCAUUUCUAUUUUCGCAAGCUAAGAUAGCGAAUGAAGAUUCUUGAUCAAAAACAUAACCCUUAGGAAUAACAAGUGAUUCUUCAUCAUCACUUUCAUCAGUAUCAUCAGAUUCAAUAUUUUCAAUCUCUCUAGCCCUAGCAAUUUGUUCAUCAAGAAAAUCACUAAGUGGCAUAGUAGUAUCGGGCAUAGAGGUAGUUUCAUCAUAAGUAUCAUGCAUAGCAGAAGUGGCAUCAUCAAUAACAUACGACAUAUCAGAACGAAUAGCUGAAGCAGGUGUAGGUGUCGCAAACUUACUCAUAACAGAAGGUGAAUCAAGUGCAGAGCUAGAUGGCAGUUCCUUACCUUCCCUCGUAGUUGAGGGAUAGAUCUUGGUUUUUGGAUCUCUCAAGUUCUUCAUAAUGAUAAGCAGAUAUAAAUCCCAAGUGACUCAAAGAAUAGAGCUAUGCUCCCCGGCAACGGUGCAAGAAAAUAGUCUUGAUAACCCACAAGUAUAGGGGAUCACAACAGUUUUCGAGGGUAGAGUAUUCAACCCAAAUUUAUUGAUUCGACACAAGGGGAGCCAACGAAUAUUCUCAAGUAUUAGCAGCUGAGUUGUCAAUUCAACCACACCUGGAAACUUAAUAUCUGCAGCAAAGUAUUUAGUAGCAAAGUAAUAUGAUAGUAGUGGUAACGGGCAAAAGGUAACCGUAGUAAAAGCAAUGUUUUUGGUAUUUUUUAGUGAUGAUAGCAAUAGCAAGGGGAAAGUAAAUAAGCUAAGAACAAUAUAUGGAAAGCUCGUAGGCAAUGGAUCACUGAUGGAGAAUUAUGCCGGAUGCGGUUCAUCAUGUAACAGUCAUAACCUAGGGUGACACAGAACUAGCUCCAGUUCAUUGAUAUAAUGUAGGCAUGUAUUCCGAACAUAGUCACACGUGCUUAUGGAAAAGAACUUGCAUGACAUCUUUUGUCCUACCCUCCUGUGGCAGUGGGGUCCUUACGGAAACUAAGGGAUAUUAAGGCCUCCUUUUAAUGGAGAACCGGAACAAAGCAUUAACACAUAGUGAAUACAUGAACUCCUCAAACAACGGUCAUCACCGGUAAGUAUCCCGAUUAUUAUCACUUCGGGGUUAACGGAUCAUAACACAUAAUAGGUGACUAUAGACUUUCAAGAUAGGAUCAAGAACAAUCAUAUAUUGAUGAAAACAUAAUAGGUUCAGAUCUGAAAUCAUGGCACUCGGGCCCUAGUGACAAGCAUUAAGCAUAGAAAAGUCAUAGCAACAUCAAUCUCAAAACAUAGUGGACACUAGGGAUCAAACCCUAACAAAACUAACUUGAUUACAUGAUAGAUCCCAUCCAACCCAUCACCAUCCAGCAAGCCUAUGAUGGAAUUACUCAUGCACGGCGGUGAGCAUCAUGAAAUUGGUGAUGGAGGAUGGUUGAUGAUGACGAUGGCGACGGAUUCCCCUCUCCGGAGCCCCGAACAGACUCCAGAUCAGCCCUCCUGAGAGGUUUUAGGGCUUGGCAGCGGCUCCGUAUCGUAAAACGCGAUGAUUUCUUCUUUCUGAUUUUUUUCUCAUCGAAACUCAAUAUAUGGAGGUGGAGUUGGAGUCGGAGACGCAACAGGGGGCACACGAGGUAGGGGGCGCACCCUAGGGGGGCAGGCGCGCCCCCUACCCUCGUGGCAAGGUGGUGGGCCCCCUGGCCUUCAUCUUUUGCAGGUAUUUUUCUUAUUUUUUGAAAAGUCGCUCCGUGAAGUUUCAGGUCAUUCCGAGAACGUUUGCUCCUGCACAUAAAUAACACCAUGGUAAUUCUGCUGAAAACAACGUCAGUACGGGUUAGUUCCAUUCAAAUCAUGCAAGUUAGAGUCCAAAACAAGGGCAAAAGUGUUUGGAAAAGUAGAUACGUUGGAGACGUAUCAAGUUUAUCCCUCUACAUCAUGUCAUCUUUCCUAAUGCGUUACUGUGUUCUUAUGAACUUAAUACUCUAGAUGCAUGCUGGAUAACGGUCGAUGUGUGGAGUAACAGUAGUAGAUGCAGAAUCGUUUCGGUCUACUUGUCGCGGACGUGAUGCCUAUAUACAUGAUCAUGCCUAGAUAUUAUCAUAAGUAGUCGCUUUUCUAUCAAUUGCUCGACAGUUAUUUGUUCACCCACCGUAGAAUUUGCUAUCUUCAGAGAAGCCACUAGUGAAACCUAUGCCCCCCGGGUCUAUCUUCCAUCAUAUUAUUUCCAUAUCAACUUGCUAUUUCUAUUACCGUUUAUUUUGCAAUCUUUAUUUUCCAAUCUAUAUCAUAAAAAUACCAAAAAUAUUUAUCUUAUUAUCUCUAUCAGAUCUCACUUUCGUAAGUGACCGUGAAGGGAUUGACAACCCCUUUAUCACGUUGGUUGCGAGGUUCUUGUUUGUUUGUGCAGGUACUAGGUGACUUGCGUGUUACCUCCUACUGGAUUGAUACCUUGGUUCUCAAAAACUGAGGGAAAUACUUACGCUACUAUGCUGCAUCACGCUUUCCUCUUGAAGGGAAAACCAACACAUGCUCAAGAGGUAGCACGGGCCGAUGAAGAGCUCAUCCACAUCAAUAAGAAGUUUGAGGAAGAGUAAGGUAUGCGAUACCUAUACAUACCCGAAAUGAUAUGAGCUCUGAUUGGUUAUCUUGCUAAGUUUUAUGGUUAUACUAAUAGUGAAUGCUUCUGAGGUCGAAUCCCUCAAGAGCACACUGGCUGAAGCCAAAAAGGAGGCGGAGGAGGAACGAGCCGCCCACCAAAAACAUGAAGCGAGGUUGGGUGAAGUCCAACAAGAGCUGAAGGAUGCCAUAAGCAAAUGUGAGUCCUUGGAGCGCAAGGUUUCGGAUCAAGACUCCGAACUUGCUAAGUCCUCCAAAGCGUGAAGGAGGCCCGGGUUGAAGCCCAAUGCGCCUGCCGGGAGAUCCAAGAGGCAAGGCAGAUAGCAGUGGGUAAGGCCUUUAAUAUGCAAAGCAAAUUUGUAAGGAGAAGAUACAUCUUACUGACCCGGGUUUGGAGUUCUCUAGGAGCGUUUGUGGAUCUGCCCGGAGUGUUGCUGAUGCUGCAGAGUUCUUCCGAGCCGAAGAGGAGAGCUCAACGGAGAAGUUUUUCUAGUUGCAGUACCUUGUGCCAGAGCAUCCAGUGCCCCUCAGUGAUCAGCUGAAGUAGUUGACCGAACUGUAUAGGAUGGCCGGAUUGGCCAUGAAGGAUGUUAUAGUCCGUCUUUGGCCAGCCGAGCCCAUACCCAGCAGCUACUUCGGACUCGUGAAGUGGCUAGUCAAUGCCUGCCCUCGUCUUGACGCCGUAAAGCAGCCGGUCUGUAUUGAAGGUGCCCGGAUGUCCUUCGCCCGUGUCAAGGUGCAGUGGGAGAAGAUGAAUGCCACCAAGCUUGCAACCGAGGGACCACCCGCAGGCAAGGAGCACUGCACACUGUAGCGGUAUUUUGAUGAAGUCCUGGAAGGAUCCCGCAUUGUACAGGGCCAGUGUUUGAAGGAUAUUAUUUUUGAAUGGAUGUAUCCGGGCUGCCCGAACUUUGUAUUAUGAAACAAGACUUUUGUAUAAUAUGUUUGCUUGUUUUUAUCUUAGAUUAUUUUCCUCCUGUGCGGCCAUUUGCUGUAUAUGAAAGUUUGCCAGUUAUCGGCUUCAGCCCCCACGUAGAUAUACAGGGGUGUUCGAAAUAGCACAUGAGCACAAUUAACCCAACGUCUUGGUCCUUGAAGGAGGUGUCAGUGCAGCGAACCAUGCAAUCAGACUGUGUGGCUUUAUCACCCUCACUUAGCCAUAGGAGUUCGACAAUGAGAUUAUAGGCGUAGCCCCUGGUGUUGUUCGGUUCUCCUAACUUAGGUGCUUUAGAUGCCUGACCGGGUGGAAGCCCGUCCUUCGUAUAAUACGGAAAGAAAUCACAAGAGAUUUGUACUUAGUCACCGAAUAGCUGACCAACUCUCGUCGUACCAUGACAGUCAGUUUUUGGCUUUCUCUACUAAGGUGUUUAACCGGGCAAACCAGAAACUCAAUCGCAGUAAUUCUCCAUUUACUACCUUAGAUGAACAAGCGGAACGUAAGGUGGUAACCACCAGGAGCCGGGCAACCCAACUAUUGACCAAAGACAUGAUUCGAAGCUGAUGCAUAUAACGCCAUAUUCGGGAUACCGAAGUGUACUAUAAAGUGUCCGCACUUCUUUUUUGAAAAAUAUGUGUGGCUGGGUAGAGGCCCUGGCGAUUUAAGUCGUGCCGAGGUGUAUAUGACAAUCAGACGAAAAGAGGGAAUACAGUUUAGGAGAUAAGACAAGACCGAAUAGGUUGGGCGAAAACUGUUUCCAUUAUAGCCUGAUUGAUAUGUCAAGACGUAUUUUUACAGAGGAUGCCAUAGGCCUCGAGGCUAUUUUACGCGCCGAGAACAAGGGAAAGCUGUAUACAGGUCCUAAAAAAUGAAAAGGUGAUCUUGAAGAUCCUUUGGAUACUCCGCCGCACGUCUGCGCUGCUUUUCGCGUUGAUGUGUGAUCCUUUGAGAGGAUGGACGAUCGAGUACACUUAAGGGGCCUGGAAAAGGGCCCUUGGUACCAUCGAAAAGUGAAGUGGGUUGUAAAGAACCUGGAAAAAAUUAAAAUAUGAAAAAGAAAGGAAGAAUAUGAGGGUCCAGGUAGGAUCGAGCCGUAUUGUGGACUUUAAUAUGCCUCCGUCCUUGCCCAUGGUAUCUUUAGUGCGUAGUUAUGUAUGCGUGGUACAUAUGCCGCAAUCCAGUUGGGGCUAUGACGGAGGCUGAAUUGCUAAUCUAGCUCUUGACGAGCCAGACUGUCAUUCUGCAAGGUAGACCAGACUCGUUUGACAAUGUCAGGUGGCUUGACUGUCGAUGUAGUAUUCGGCUUGAUAAGGCCACCCUAUACUUCAGCUGUGAGGGCGCAGUGUGCUCCUCAGUACGGAGGAAGCGUUCCUUGUUUCCACUGACUGUUAUAACACUGCGGGGUCCGGGCAUUUUGAGAUUUAAGUAAGCAUAAUGCGGGACCACAUUGAAGCGGGUGAAAGCGGUUCGUCCGAGCAGUGCAUGAUAGCCACUGCGGAAAGGGACAAUGUAGAAGAUCAAGUCUUCACUUCAGAAAUUAUCUGGUGAGCCGAAGACUACCUCCAGUGUUAUGGAACCUGUGCAGCGGGCCUCUACGCCGGGUAUCACUCCUUUGAAGGUGAUUCUGGUGGGCUUGAUUCUUGACGGAUCAAUACCCAUUGUGCGGGCAAUGUCCUGAUAAAGCAGGUUAAUACUGCUGCCGCCGUCCAUAAGGACUCGUGUGAGAUGGAAUCCGUCGAUAAGGGUCGAGGACCAAUGCUGCUGAACCUCCAUGACAGAUACUAGUUGGAUGGUCUCUGUGAUCAAAAGUGAUCGGACAUGACCAAGGGUUGAAUUUUGGGGCGACUGGCUCUAUGGCAUAGACGUCCCUUAGUGCGCGCUUGCGCUCCCGCUUGGGGAUGUGAGUGACGUAUAUCAUAUUCACCGUUUUGACCUCGGGGGGAAAUUUCUUUUGUCCCCCUAUGUUCGGUUGGCGAGGCUCUUCAUCGCCGUCCUCUCUAGGCGGCCCUUCCCCUUAUGCCCGGUGUUUAGCUUACUGGCUUGUUUGAAGACCCAACAAUCUCUGUUUAUAUGAUUGGCAGGCUUGUCAGGGGUGCCAUGAAUCUGGCAGGGCCGAUCUAGUAUUUGGUCCAGACUAGAUGGGCCAUCUUUGUUUCCUUUGAAUGGUUUCUUCUGCUGACCGGGUUAAGAACCACUGAAUCCAGCGUUGACCGCCGUGUCUUCGGUAUCUGCAUUGUUGAUUGGACGCUUGUGUUUGUUGCGUCGUGGCCUACCAUUGCCAUCUCUGGCUUCGGAGGUGCCAGGGUUGCUGGUGUUGUUGCUUCUAUGAGCGAGCCAACUAUCUUCUCCCACGCAAAAGCGGGUCAUAAGGGCGGCGAGGGCUUCCAUGGACUUCGGUUUUUCUUGGCCGAGGUGUCGGGCGAGCCACUCGUCACGGAUGUUGUGUUUAAAGGCCGCGAGGGCUUCGGCGUCCGGACAAUCGACAAUGUGGUUCUUUUUAAUUAAGAACCUGGUCCAGAGUUUCCGGGUUGACUCUCUGGGUUGAUGGACUAUGUGACUGAGGUCAUCGGCGUUCGGAGGCCGGACAUAGGUACCUUGGAAGUUGUCUCUAAAGGCAUCUUCCAGGUCCUCCCAGCUACCAAUGGAGUUCUCUAGGAGGCUAUUUAGCCAGUGUCUUGCUGGCCCCUUCAGUUUUAAGGGAAGGUAUUUGAUGGCAUGGAGAUCGUCACCGUGGGCCAUGUGGAUAUGGAGAAGGAAAUCUUCGAUCCAUACCGCGGGAUCUAUCGUGCCGUCAUAUGAUCCAAUGUUUACGGGUUUGAACCCUUCUGGGAACUGAUGCUCCAUUACCUCAUCCUUAAAGCAUAGGGGGUGUGCGGCGGCUUUAUAUCUGGCGAUGUCUCGGCGGAGUUCGGAUGACAUUCAUAUGUGGUUUUCGGCCCAUGUGAAGUUGUGCCUAUCGCACCAGGCCUGAUGGCCGUCCUCUCGCGUUGGGGCACGCCCACAUGAUCCAGAGAUUGAUCUGGCUUGGCCUGCUCUAUUGUCCAGGUCAUGCCGUAGGUCGUAGGUGCAUCCUGGAGCCGCUGUCUCUCUGCCUGUGCGGUGAGGCGGUGCGGGUUGGUGUUCGGCGUAGGUUGCCGCUUUAUCUCGCCCGUGUGGUGGUCGGUCUGGUUCAUCAGCACGGUCGUGUCUUGACGGUAUGGGCCCAAUGGCCUCGUCGUCAAAUUGUGGUAAUAGCCGACACUUCGGAUAACUCUUUGUUGGGUGCUAAAGGCCAUAUUCUUCGGCGGCUAGGACCCGAGUCCAUCUGUCGUUGCGUGUAUCUGCUGCUUUUUAGGCUUCAUGCAGUGUCGAUUAGUUGGCGCUUAAAGCGCUCCUACUCGAGUGGUUCCUCUGGCACGAUGAAGUCUUCGUCGCCGAGGCUCACAUCGUCUUCAGAGAGCGGUAGAUAAUUACUGUCUUCCGAGUCCCCAUUCUCGACCGUAUCGUCGGGGUUGACUUUCCCCUCUCCCACAUCAUCUUGUUCAGAUGUGGGCUCGACGGGGGCUUCGGGCUCUUCGGCACCCUCUGGAGUGUUAUCGUCUCUGGUGCCGGUAUUACUGUCUUUGCCACAAUGCGAUUUUGAGUGGCGUCGCUGGCGUCAACGUUUCGGUGGUGCCUCACCAGGUUUGUCCUCUUCCGGAUCUUUCUUGUUUGCAUCAUCAUCCUCUUUGGGUGUGUCCACCAUAUAUACGUCGUAUGUGGAGGUGGCCGUCCAACGUCCGGUAAUCGGCGGGUCUUGGCCUUGUUCGUCUUCCAUGUCGUCGAUAUCUUCAGAGGCGUAGUCCAUCAUGUCAGUUAAACCUUCGACAGUGGCUAUGAAGUGGGUGGUGGGUGGGACGUAAAAUUCCCUGCUCUCAACCCCUAGUCCGGGUUGGGCGUAGUUUAAAAAUGAUUCCUCUGUAAUGGCGAGGGAUCGCAUUAAGUCCAGGGCCUUGUUUAAUAGCGAGGUUUUUAUAGGGAAACAAGAGUCCGUGGGGCUGGCCGGGGCAAAGGCCUCCUGGCCAUGCUUGCUUGGCGCGGACUUCGAGAGCUCGGAUUCGAAAUCCGGGGACGAGUCCAGCCUUUCAAUGAUAGGGGGAAUCCGGUCUAAUCCCUAAUUCGCCAUGGACACAAUCGCCUCCAGAUCCUCAGUAAUGCGGUUCGCGACAAAGAGUUCGGUGGGCUCCAAACUCCCAUCUUCGGAUCUGGUGGUUUGCUCCGGAUCUAAGGCCAGAGCUGUGAUCGGGGCCGCGAACCCUUCAAAGAUCAAGUCUCCUCGGAUAUCAGCGACAUAGUUUAGGUUCCCAAAACUGAUCUGAUGACCAGGGGCGUAGCUGUCGAUCUGUUCGAGGUGGCCAACUGAGUUGGCACACAGAACGAAGCCACCGAAUAGAAAAAUCUGGCCGGGAAGGUAAGAUUCCCCGAAGACGGCAUCGUUGUAGAUGAUCGAAGGAGCCAUCGAGCCUUCUGUUGACGGCAUAGUGGAACUCUCAAUGAAAGCACCAAUGUCAGUGUCAAAACCGGCCGAUCUCGGGUAGGGGGCCCCGAACUGUGUGUGUGAGGAUCGAAGGUAACAGGAGGCAGGGGACACGAUGUUUACCUAGGUUCAGGCCCUCUUAAUGGAGGUAAUACCCUACUUCAUGUUUGAUUGACUUUAAUGAGUAUAGGGGUUACAAGAGUUGAUCUACCUCAAGAUCGUAAUGGCUAAACCCUAGACGUCUAGCCUGUAUGAUUAUGAUCGCCUCUACGGACUAAACCCUCCGGUUUAUAUAGACAUCGGAGGGGCCUAGGUUUGUACAAAGUCGGUUUACAGAGAAAGGAAACUUCAUAUCCGAAUGCCAAAGCUUGCCAUCCAUGCAAAGGAGAGUCCCAUCCGGACAUGGGGGAAUGCCCUCUAUCUUGUAUCUUCACGACCCAUCAGUCCGGCCCAUGCACUACAAAAAAAAUACACUUCCGUGAUGAUACAUGUUUGUCACAAUAGGUCACGUUUUUUGUCAUGCAUGUACAUCCAUGACGAUUUUAUGUCAGAAUCAAGAUAGUCAUACAUGUGUUGUCGUAGAAGUGUUCCAUGACAUUACCAAAAUUAUCAUCACGGAAGUGUCCACUUCCAUGAUGAAAAAUCAUGCGUCACAGAAGUGCUUUCGUCAAGGGUGACCAACACAUGGCAUCCACCAUAACGGAACGCCGUUAAGCUAUCGGGUCGGAUUUUGGAUCCGAUAACCCGUUAACAGCCCUGACCAAUGGGAAAUUUCCACGUGUAAAAUUUUGAUUGGCCGAAGGGAACACCUGUCAGCUCGUCAGUGGGCCAGAUGUCGCCCGUCCAUUGGAGGAGAUAUGCCUAUGAUACGUCGACACGUGGCUGGGCCCAAUAGAGGCCCAUAUAGGUUAAAAGGCCGGCCCAGUCAAAGGCCCAUAGAACUUAAUCAGGUACUAGUGGGCUAGCCCAAUAAUGGCCUGCUUAAUAAAGGCCCAUUUACGGCCCGAAGCCAGAUCUGGUCGUUAAUUGUUCGCCCAAUAUUUGGGCCCAUUUACGGCCCGAAGCCAGAUCUGGCCCGUUAAUUGUUUGCCCAAUAUUUGGGCCCAUUUGUGGCCCGAAGCCAGAUCUGGCCCGUUAAUUGUUCGCCGAAUAUUUGGGCCCAACUACAGCCCAGUGACUUUCGGCCUGUUAGAGGCCUGAUGUAGACAUGGGCCCAUUUCAGCCCGGUGUGACUUUCGGCCUGGGAAUGGCCCAUGCUGCCCAUGGUCCAUAUAUGGUCCGACGGGACAUCGGGCCCACUAACGGCCUGUGCUAAAGGUGGCAACAGUUAAGCCCAACGUGACUUUGGGCCUGUUAAAGGCAUGUCGCGUAAUUCGGCCCGUUGAUGCAUGUGCUAAGCUUUCGGCCUCUUAAAGGCCCAUGAUAUCAGUGGGCCAACUAAGGCCCGACAUAUGUUUCGGCCUGGUAACGGCCCAUGAGCUAACUGGGCCCAAAACGGCUCGGUCUACAUUUCGGCCUGCUGAAGGCCCGUCGACGACUAGUGAAAAUUGAGGCCCAACAUGCAUUUUGGCAUGCUAAAGGCCCGUGGUUUCAUCUCGGCCGUGACAGGCCAGUACAAUAUUCAGCCUGUUAAUGGCCCAACGCUACCUGGGCCAAACUAAGUGCUGGGUCGACAAAAGGCCCAACUAAAAUAUAGGCCGGUGUAAGUUUGGGCCUGGCGCAAUGUGUGAAGGCCCCAAUCAUUCGGGCCCAAGAAAGAUGCAGGCCGGCCCAAUUGUGGCCCGCUAAAAACCUGGCCCGUUAGAGUCAAAUGUUUCGGUCCGGUCGACUACAUCUGAUUUUUUUCCAGAUAGCUAAUGAUGGCAGUAACUAGUAGGAAUUAAGAACAAACCUACUCUAUACAAUAAAGAAAUUACAGCAUAGUAACUAAGAAUAAACCUACACUAUACAAUAAAGGAUUUAAGGUAUAUUACAUCCACUGGGCAUCGAAGUUUGCCACCAGUGAUCAUAAAGCGCAACGAAGAAGCAGAUUACAAAAACUGGGCACCAUUGCAGCGUAACAAAAUAAUACUGAACCGAGACCACUUCCAAGACAGUUCAAGAAAGGUUAGCCUUGCGGGGGAACUGCUGCGCAAGCUGCUGAGCAAGGCUGUGAGACCAGCCUAGCAUGUCGGUCAUAGCUUCUAGGUGUAGCUGUUUAGCGAUGAGGUUCUCAUUGGUGUUCUCCGCAACAUUUCUUAGAGAUAGGACUUCAAGUCGAAGUUGAGUUGCAGAAUGCCUUUCUGCUAGAACUUGGGACUGAAGAAGUCGAACUGAUUCAGACAACGAAUUCUGUGAGCUUGUCUGACUGUUAGUCUCAAGUAACUUGAGCACUGCAUCAAGACAAGACUUUGGGGUUGUGUCGCUAUCUUCAAGAUGUUUUGCCUUCUUUGCUGCAAUAUAUGUUGGGUUUGUCUCACAGCCUUCAGCAGACUUGUGCAUGCCAUCAGGCAUAUCACCCUGAAACAAAGCAGAGAGAUGACAGGUUUUGCACGUGUAUAAACAAAGAUGAUAACUGUUAUGUCAAUUCUAUCCAAUUUCAAAUUAGAAAAUAAAGAGUAAGUUCAAAAUAUCAAUAGCAUAAUUUUGCAUUGUUCAUAAUGCGGGGAUCUUCACCACACUACUGGAUUACCAUGUCAACAUAACAAGCAUAGAUGAAAGGCAAAGAAAAUCAUUGUAUCUAUUUUGGAUAAUGUGCAUGGCAUGUUGUUCAUAUCAUCAGCCACAUCAGUAAGAUAAAACAUGAGAUGACAAGGUGCAAACGUGGGCUGCUUCACCACACACUGGAUUAUAGAUCCACAAAAACAAGCAUACAUAUAGGAAGUAUUAAGUAAUGUGCAUGGUAUGAAUAAGGAAUUUGGUUUUACAAGUAAAACUUAGAACUUACGGUUCUUACGAACAUGCAUUUUGGUAGAAACAGCAAACUAAACAGCAGUAAACGAUAGGGAGUAUGAGCAAAUUAAACCGCAGUUGAGGAUAAAGGCUUUAGAAGGACUGACUUACAUUAACAGUUAACACCGACUUUAUAAUGCUCUUCUCCAUGUCAAGGGAAGGAUAACUCAAGAAUUUCAGCACAAAAUCUUCUUCAUAAGCAUUGCCUGUACUCUACAUUUUGUAGAGAGUAAUUAUAGAUAUGAUAAUACUGGAAGGGAUAGAGGAUAAUGAAGAUAAGAUGCAGAUUGAUGCUACAUAAUCAACUACCAAUCCCUGGAAGUACAAGUGUUACAGGAGAAAAUGUACUGACAAGAGCAAUGGGCUACACUUCUGCACUGGCAUUGUCUGUGUAUUCUACUUCUUGGUAAGAUUAAAUAUAGAUCUGAUCUUUUUUAGUAAAUGGUUGGCGAGGGAGAUAAGAUGCAGAAUGCUACAAAAUGAACCAAUCCCUCUUCCCAUAAUACAAGAGUGUUUUGAACACUGGUGUAUUGUACAAAACGUUCUUAUAUUAUGGGACGGAGGGAGUAGCUGUUAAUGUAAGUACAGUGAUAGACCACGUUCAGUCCUUACAAGAGGACUGCAGAGCUAAACCUCUUCAAAAGCAUUGGGUUGAUUCUAAAUUUAUGUAAGAGUCCAUACGGAUCUUAUAAUGUCCACCAAAUGGACGAUUACGAGGCUAACAUGUGCAGUGAUGCUACAUAAUCAAACAACUAUGAAAGUACGUAUGGUCAUAUAGGGCAAGAGGUACUCACAAGAGCAAUGCAGUGUGAAUUAUAGUUGCGAGAUUCUGUGGUCCCUUGAGAAUGAAUGUUCUUCUGCUAACAGUUUUCGUACAAGUGAGACAUUAAGGCAAAUGCAGAAAUGUAGUUCAAAUUGUGAUGUGAUAUCAUAGACAGUACCUUACGCUGCAGCCGAGACCAAUGUGUAACAAGAUUAUUCCAGUCACCGUCGUAUAAAUGUAGCACCGGAGACUUUACAGAAAUUUUGUUCAGAGGCUUGCCAUCGAAGUGCGCUUGCCUCGGGUAGGAACGAUACUUCAUCAAAGAGUGCUUAAAAAGCGCAACCAACCCUUGCUCGUCAUCACAAUCCAGUUUGCUCAUCGCCUAUUUAAAAGAAUGAAAUCUUGUGUCUUCUGCCAGCAGAAACAUAUGCAGUAAUGACCAUGAAUAACAUUAGUACAUUACUUACGCGUAAGUUGCGGAGGAAGACUGGAAAUUGUUCUGUGUCUGCGGUAUAAUCUUUCCAUGAAGGAAAGAUGCGCACAAAGUUCCUGACAACAACAUAAGCUGCAUCUUCUAAACUAGGAAGAAAUGGAACAGGGGUCCUAUUUGCUGCAAUUGGGGCUCUCUCUGGUUCGAAAAGGGAUUUGGCAACUGGAUUUGGUGUACUCUUUGCUAGAAUGGGGGUUUUGCGUCGUACAGCUGGUGCUAUGUCAACUGGCAUAAUCAUAUUGUUUGCUGCAGUUGGGGUCUGCUGAGUUGGGGCAUCAGAAAUGACCAGUGUAGUAGGGCUAGACUCUGCUAGAGUUGGGGUAUUUUGUGGGUCAGGUGAUAUUGCAACUACACCUAAUGGGCUAUUUGAUUUAUCAGGUGCCACUACCUUUUCCAAAUACUUUGCUUGUGCUCCUCCACGAUCAGCAAUCGCCCUCUUCCUUUUGAACGUCUGAUACACAAGAACAGCAUUUGAAUGGAUAAAUAUGGUAUGAUGACAGAUGGAAUAUGUACUGAAAAUGGAUAGGCAGGGCGUAUUCACAUACACGAUGUGUAAACUAAGCUAAUGGCAGUUCAACAAAGUAGAAGCAAUGCAAAGCAUCAGUUGCAAGAUAUUUGCAAUGUAACCUUGGAAAGUUAGAGCAAGUACCUUGAUGGGUGAAUAAGAUAGGGCAUCUUCCUCUGACUCCUCCACUAGGGAGCUACAUUGACUUAGGUUUCCCUCUAGCUCAGAAUCACUGUUAGGAUCAUAUUCUGAGCAUGAAUCUGUAGGUGGAGAGCGUUUGCAUUGCAUUGCAUCCAGACUUGAUUUCAGUCCCUUAAUGCCAAGUUUGACAGCCAUGGCAUUGUUCUGCUUUAUUCUUUUCAUGCGCGCAAGCUCAUAAUCAUUAUGAUGUUGUUCAGAAUCUGAGAUUCAUGAAAACAUAAAAAGUAGUCAGAUUAUCUAUGGAAUGCAUUGCAGAUUCAACUCGGAGAGUGUCUCCCUAUAAACCCCUGCAUAUGCAAAGUCACCUCCCCAACCAUGCUGACCAGACCACACACAGAAAUACAAACCCCUUAUGUCUCUAUAACAGGCAGGCACACAUUUCAAAACUGAAGUAGGAAUAUUAGAAUCAUAUGAAAUUCGUAUUUGAACAAAUAAACUAAGCAAUUAUGAGUGGCGUAAUGUUUAGCUUCAAAUGUGGAGUGUUGGUAGUGCGGCACAAAGCAAGUAGACAGAUUGUAUUCCAUGUAAAAGAUUGAAACCUAUGUAAAAGCUAGAAAUGACACUUUCUUUCUAUAAAUGCGGUGUUCGUUACCCACACAUGAUGGAAGAGAUCACAUAGCGAAACACUAUUCACUCAUGUCUACGGUUCCAGUAUUUAGAAACAGGGUGGUCCACCCUAAAAGAAUAUUGACAACAAAUAUGACAAGACAAGCAUAGAUGUAGUGAAUCAAUCAUUUACUUGUGAGCUUACUAGGACACGUAUGCAGAAUUGUAACUGCAGUAAGAGACGUCCAAAAUCUGAAUGAAGAAGUUUGUCUAGCACUUAUUAUUUGCAACUAAUCGACGUGAAUAAUUGGAUAUUAUAUCGAAUGAGUAAGAAAGACAAGUAAAAUUGUCAACAAACCUGGCUUGCAGUAGUAAUCUGGGUCAAUGUCACUACGACCAACAAUCCAAAAUGACUAGUUUCUGUUCCGAGGGCCGGAAUUUUGAAAACCCUGUGAACUUUAGAGGUACUAAAGAUUACCGAAAUACAUCUGAACCAUUAAAUGUAGGUAGCACUGAGCACACAACAAACCCUAAUGACAGUCCUGCCUAAUGAGUAAUGAAUCAAUUAGAAAAUGGGUGAUGAGGAGUGGCUGCUGAGUGUUGAGGACUUAUCUCAGGAUAAAUCGGGUUGGCUUGGUGGGUGCUGCACGCCUGAGCCCUGAACGGACUGUGAAGGUAGGCACGGCGGCGCGCUCGGGCAGCGGUGACACUGUUGGGCGAGCGGCUCCUGGCCUCCUGUUAGUCCGGCGUCUCCUCCUAAAGUCAUGCCUUCCGGGGACGGCAAGUCACCGGCGAGGCAGGCGGCUGGGGGCGAGUAGAGAUCGGAAGCGCGCAGCAGAACAGAGGGGAAUCGGGGCCUGGGACGACCCAAAAUCCCAGGGUGGGCCGGCCCACCAUGGGCACCCUGUAGAGAUACACACCCGAGCGACGAACAUGCAUUUUCGAAACUAAUUUAGGAACAUUUAGCUGACCAAUUAAACAACUCUGUUUUAAUAAUAUCAGAUUCGUAUUUGAACAACUAAGCUUGUUUAGCUUGAUGGGUGGAGCAGUGUUAUUAUGACACGAAGCACGUAUUCUGAUCGUAUAGUGAUCGUAAAAGGGGGAAACUCUAAGCAUAUUUUUUUAGCAAAAGAGGGUUUCCCCUCCGAUUUCUAUUAAAGAAACCACCACGGAACCAACAUGAUCAAUUAAACCCUAAGCAUGAUCAAUUAAACCGUAUUAUGGCUGUGCCAUGGCAGAUUUCAAGCUGCAAACCGGAGAAAUGAUAUUUAGCAUCCAUUGUUUGCUUCGAACUAAGAACUAAAUUCUAAGAGCUGAAAAGAAAGUAGAGUAACCAAGUUAAGAUCUAUUUUCUGGUUGAGAUCAAAAAGUUGAGGAGAUAUGAAGUACCACCUCUCUUGCGGCACCGUGUAGGCAUCGGGGGUGCGAUGGCUGUCGGUGGCGUUGAAGCAGACCUGCGAUGGUAGACGAGUGCAUCGGGGGAUAAGUCCCGUUGCGGUGGAAGAGAAGGUCGUGUGAGCGGCCCCGGCAAAGAGGACGACGGCGCCGAUGAAGCGAGAGGAUGCGAUGCAAGGCUAUUGGUCCGUCGCCGUGGAUGAGAAACAUGCAUCUCUAGCAGUGGACGAUGCGGUCUUCGUAGGCGCUCCGGCAUGGUGGAGGACGGUGGCGAUGGAUGUGGUGGAGGACAUCAGCGAUGGAUGGGGUGGCGGACAGAGGCUGGUGUGGGGAUGGGGUGUUCUAGCGCGGACGAUGUAUGAAUGGGAAAAUGGAGGGAGAGGUAUGGGGAACCAUGUUUUUGGGACGGGCCUGUCUGAAAUAUGGGAAAGUUACGAACUUAGCCCCCAUUUAAAAUUUGUACGUCUCAUCGGUUGGGGAUAGGACGGUAAUCUCGCAUCUCACCAAUAUUUGCCCAGAGAGAUUUCGGGCGAGGAGAGGGUAGUUGGCGCCACGGUGUAUGAACGGGGCUGACAGGUAGGGCGGUUGUGUCACGUCUGAGUGAAGUUACAAACCUGCCCCUAUUGAAAAUAUUUGCCUACAUCAAUUUCGACUGAGUCGAGUUUGUUUUGCCGCCCACCGUGUAUGAAUGGGGAAUGGAGGGAGAAAAAGAGGUCUUUCGGACGAGCUUGAAUCAAAUGAGUUUUGCCGCCCAUGUUUGACGCCCACCGUGUCGGAAUGGGCUCAGAGGCGGUCGUGUCACAUCUAAUUGAAGUUACUAAUCUACCCCUAUUUAGAGCAGUGGAAAUCGGGCCGAUGGAUUGUCCGUGUAAUGGGUAGACAGUAAUUUCCAUCUCCCAAACACUUGGCUUCGGGCAGCCGAUGUGGGAGUGGACACUUUGCUGCUUCUUUCGAAUUUUGGGACAAUAAGCAUCCACGUUUACCCUGGCAAAAUACCGAGUCAAUCAACCAAGAAUGUACAGAACUAAUAGACAUAUAAACACUUGUAGAGUAUAUGGAUCAAUAAUAUCAACUAACAUACAUAAGCCAGGACGGUGUACUUUUUUUUGGCUACAACAACAUCCUUUUUUAGCCAGCAUCUUGGCACUUUCCGAUGCGUGCCACUUAUGGUCCAUCUAUACUACUAUUAUUGCUGAAUGCACAUUCAACCUGAUUGACAUAUUUGGAGGUCUGGCACAGCAAUCCAAAUGAAAUGUCUCCGAGUCUUAUCAAUUAAUAUAGACUUGUGCUCAAAUAAAAUUACAAGCCAAAAAACAAAAAAAAACA
rnacentral:lncRNA from 1 species